rnacentral:lncRNA from 1 species
AGAUCUGGCCUUCAACACCGACGAGCUAUUGGAGACUCUCUCUCUCUCCGUCUAUGUCGCUCUCUCACUUUUAGAAGUCAUUCAAAUAAUUUGUUUCUUGGAAUUGAUAUGAAUUUUUCUAGUUGUAGGUUUGAUUAUUUAUUUUGAGUUUGAGUGAUGUGAGCAAGAUUGGGGUGUGGGGCUGGGAUCGCACUAGUUUGGUUGCAAGAUUGGGGGUCUGGGAAGGUGGGUGUGGGUUGGGGUGAAGUGAUGUCGAGUUUGGGUGGCUUUUUGGUUGAUGGUUAGGAUGGCUGAGUUGGUGGUGCCUUGAAGGAAGCAGUCGGGCUAGAGGGAGAGAUAUAUAUUUUUUUCUUUUCAUUUUUGAUUUUUUGAUUUAUUAUUUAACUUUCCUAAUGUAUGAUAAAGGUAGAGUAGGAAGGAGAAGAAUAAAAACAAAACAAGAUUAAUUAAAAAGUAUUAAAAAACAAAAGGAAGUGUAAGUGGAGAAAAUGGAAGUGAGAAAAUAAGCUCUCUAAUUUUAUUAUGUAUACAGUAUACAGUAUGCGAAAAUAAGAACUCUUACGGUAAUCACCCAGGCUUGUAAGCCUGUUUUUAUGUAUAUGUUAUGUGUUAUUAAAAUUGUGAUUUUUCCCUUUUUAUAAAAUUUUUAUUCAAAACUUUUAGAUAUAAAGAAUAUAUAAAAUAAAUAUUAAACAGUAAAGUAAAAUAAAGAGACAAGUAAACAAAUAAAUAAAACAAGUUAAGAUUAAGAAAGCAAGCCUGGUAUAGUGAAAGCACGUCAAAGAGGGUGUCCUAAAGCCUUUGUAGCCUCCUUACGUGCAGGUAAUGACGGUCUACAAGACUCCAAGAUACGACCCCAAUACGUAGGCUUAAGAUCCGCUAUAAGUACGUUCACAGUCGGAUAGAAAACUCCAAGCCACAGAGCGGUUGCCCAAAAAUAAUAUAGAAAGUAUGGAAUAUGUGAAAGUAUGAGAAUAGAGAAAUCUGAUUGUAGUGUAUUGAAAUAUGAAGGAGGAGUGACCUUUUAUAGGCAUCCAAAACUCGUAACCUCCAAACACAUUUAACCAUAAAAAUUGGUGGCAAUGAAUAGAAAAUAAAAACUGAAAAUUAAACAAUUUGUAAAUCCUAUAAUAAAUAAAAGAAACCAGCCAAAAUUAAAACAGAAAAUAAAAAGUUUUAAAAUUUAAAAUUCUUUUAAAUAAUAACAAUUUGUGAUCAUAUAGGGUGGCGUUUAUAUAUAUAAUUCGUUACUUUGAAUUUGUCAGAUUACAUGUAUAUUAGGAUGAUCCCAUGUCUGACAAGAUUCAAUAUAUGAUUUUGGAAGAUGAUAGAUAUAUGAUGUUGUUUAUGGAAGAAAGAAGGAUGAAUGAUUUUAAUAGUUUACAAGCAUCGGAGGAUAUUUGGCACCAUGAUGGCUAACAAAUAUUCCAAUAGCUUAGCUUCAAUUAUAUGAGACAAUUUGUGAUGUGGUUUCUGAAACAAAAAAGAAUGAAUGAGAGAGGAGAUAGAGGAAUAACAUGGCAAUUGCGAGGAGUUAUGUGAGUUUUGUCAAGCUCAUGAGGCAUAGUAGAAGGCCUCCAAAUUUUUUGGAUGAUGAUAAGAAUUACACAACAUUUUUCAUAAGAGUAUCCUGAAUGAUAAAUUUAUUAGCUUAGCUUGAUAUACAUUGUUGGCUCAUUUCUUGACAACUCAACUUUUUGAGGCUUAGUGGUUGUCUAGUGAUGGACAUAUUUUAUAUUAUAUAUUUAACCUCAUUCUUAGUAUAUUUUGGUUAAUAUUUUGGAAGAAUUUUGAUACUUUGAAUUAUAUUUCCAAUAUAGGACUUUCGACUUUCUCUAGAGCAAAACAUAAUCAAAUUGAGGAAUUUUGGAGUAAUUCCAGUUGGAGGACGUUCUUGAGUCGCUUAGCUUGAUCGUACCAAAAUUUCAGAUUUUUCUUCCAAGCGGUUAUUUUCUGGCAACAAAAUAAAGGAGCAGUGCGCGGUGCUGGAAUAGUGACGUGUUGGGCUUCUAUUGCGUUUUUGGAGCCCAAGAUGACCUCGGAUGGGUUCGUGGCCUUCUAGAGAAGUGUUCAGAACAUUUUUAUCUUUAAAACAAGCUAUCUUGGGCCAGAUUUGGAGGAGAUUUGGGGCCAAAACGUGGCUGGGCAGAUUUUAGGCAGAUUCUCCUAUUCCAAUUUGGACUUUAUUUCCUAGUAUUAUUUUAUUUAAUUAGUUUCCUUGUGGGGAUAGAAAAGCUGUACAUUGGCAGCUAGGUUUUAAGGGGUAUUUAAGCUCUUUCUCACAAGGAAUUGAGGACUCCUUUUUUCACUUUUGAACUUUGUAUUGUGGAGAGCAAUUGCUAGGGUUUUGGGUUUUCACAACUUUCAGGUGUUUUCGUUCUUUUCUUCUUAAUGAUAUUUUCUUGGAUUUCAAUUAUGAGUAUGCGUAACUAAAUUUCUUUUGCUAGGGUGAAGCCUUGAACCUUAGCAGGAAUAUGUGAUUUUUAUUUAAUUGCUUAUGAUGAGUGCAUGCCUACUUGAAUUGUUAAUCACUGUUUUAAACUAUCUAAUUGUCUUAAUGCCUGAUCACCAUUAGGAUCUUUAGAAAAGUAAUUGGAUGCAAUUUUGGUCGGAAGGUUCCCUGAAAUUGAUGCUAGCUUCUUGUGAUUAAUAAUUGUAAUUUCACUUCAGAUGAAUACCACGUCUUAAGGGUUGCAUGGUUUUUUCAAAGGGUUUUCACAAAACUUAAUGAAUCUUUCAUGUUCAGAUUUGAUCCGAACGUCCGGACGGGUUGCAUGUUAGAUAUACGUUCUGUGUUGGAGGUUCCAAGUAUAAUAUACAUUAGGAAAACCUAACCUUCAAAGUGGCAUGUUUGCAAAUCAUAAGUAAUUGGUAAAAGUUCAUAGGAUUGCUAGGUGAUGGUGAAACCCUAGUGUUUUUAUAAAUUGAUAUUCAAAACUCUUUCUUUCAAUCGUAUUUGUUUUUGUUUAAUAUUUAUUUUUAGAAUCAACCAAAUUCAUAAUCAUCUUUCUUGACUUUUUAUUUUAAGUAGUAUUUGGAAUUUGUUUUUACAUAAAUUGCUAAUUAGUCCUUGAGGAAAACGACCUUGCAUGAGCAUCUAUACUACAAUAGCCUUGUAUUCUUGCAAGUAUUUUAUGUGAUUUUAACACUGUUUGCACAAGUACUAAAAAUCCUAUCAUCUAGCAUAAUAUCAUGCCUCUGGUUCUAGAAUGAGGCUACACGCGUAAGGGAGAGUGUUAGCUAGCAUAGCUUGAUAUACAAUUUUCUAAAAACCAAGUAAACACAUACAUGCAUAACUGGAUUAGCUUACUCACCAUCUUAACAUUUUUUUUAUUAUUAUCAAAUCUUGGGCGUCAAGAAAGCCAAAUACGACCUCAUUCGGUGGGUAGGAUAAGUAUUAAGAUUAGAUUAAUGUAAUUAAAUCUUACGCUUUCAUCAUACAAAAAAUAGAUAUGAAUACACACUAUUACAAAAAUCGCAAUAGAUGACGGUAAUCUACAGUCGUGUAUCAGGUUUUUCAACCGUCGUGAAAUCGACCGACAUCUUUUGAUGCAUAAAACCACGACGGUAAAUCCCCGUUGUCUAUUAUUUGUAAAGAUGACACUUUUACUCAAAACCGUCGUCUAUUAGAUGUAAAGACGACCAUUUUUUUGAAAGAACUGUCGUCUAUUAAAUUUAAAGAUGAGGGUUUUUUUUCGAAAGAACUGUCGUUUAUUAUAUCCAAAGACGUUGGGUUUGUUAAAAAGCCGUCGUCUAUUAAUUGUGAAGACUACGGUUUCUUGAAAUAUUGUCGUCUAUUAACUCUAAGACGAUGGUUUUUUCAACAAAAUCAUCGUCUAUUAACUUUAAAAUUGAUGUAGUAAUUUUACAUUUUAGCUUCUUCUUUUUUCUUGUUUCCAAUGGUAUCACAAAUAUAUACUCAAAUAUGCUAUUACUCACGCCACACAUAUAUACUCAAAAAUUGUUUCUUUCAUAAAUAGAAUAUCAAGAGUACAAUAGAACAAAUUAAAAUCUAAAAAAUGAAAGUACUCUAGGGCCGCUAGCUGCAAGCCUAAUUACAAUAAUACAUCAAAAUUCCUAUACCUAAUUAUCCUUCAAGUCAAGUUCUCCAUAUGUAUAUAGAGCUAUACCUUCAUCAUCACCACUUUUCCUCUGCAUUUAACAGCAGGUUGAACCGACACUACUUUCCCCACGCUAGCAGUAGCUUCGUUAGAACCACUUCCAUGGCGUAGGAAACUGCUUAACAAGCCAAAAUAAUGUAAUGGUGAGAUAUAUAAUCAAGAUAAUUAUAGAAGUAAGCCACUAAUCAAGUAAACACACAUGGCCUAUUUCUCAUGACAGCACAAAACAAAAGAUUAGAACGCAACAAACAAGCACAUAUUUAAGUAGGACGACUACACUAAAAACAUGUCCAGCUUAAGAGUCUGCGAUUGUAACCUCCACUUCCACACUAGGCUCAAUUGUAACGGAAGUAAUUUGCUUGAUGACAUCAGGAGAGCUGAAGAGGUCAAUCACCCUCUUGUGGACACGCAACUCAAAUCUGUCCUAUGUGUUGGUACCUGUAAAUCACAAACAAAAUUUUAAAGAUACAUAACCCUUUAAAAUGCAAAAACAAAGAAACUGUACUUCAAUAACUGGUCAGUCAUGAAUAGGCCACAGUAAGCAACAAAUUUUACUUAUGUAACUUGGCACAAACAAGAGAACUCCCAACUCUGAGUAAAUGGCCAUAGACAUAAGCCUUGCCUUGCCCAUAAAGCAUCAAGCCAUAAGUUAACAGUAAGGACAUUUCACAUUGAAACAUACCUUCACCACAAGUGGACUUCUUGGUGGUAAUGUGCAGAAUCUUGGUUAGCAUUCUCACGGGUCCCUUAACCCGGAGCCUCUUGUCUUUUGCACCAUGAACCAUAUCAAUGCAAACUAUCAAUAUGACAGAUGUCAAUCCAGCAAGCUAAAGAAAUAUAACAAAAAAAAUUUGAAUUCUUAAUAAUCUAAACAAACUUAAAAACUUUAUGUAAAGACAAUGGUGGAUAAACCCAUUUCAACAACGUCACACAUAAAUUAAGUACAAAUGAAACUGAACAGUAUUGAAGCUCAUAAAAACUUGCAUUUACAGGACUCUGGAAUUUAGAGAAUACCAAUGCAGGGGCAGAGGAGCAGUAGAGAGAAAAGGGAGGGUACUAUGGUUAAAGUCACUGAUUUGUUUACCCAUACCAUAAGACCGACUGAGACACCAUUCUAACACGCCCAUACCCUAAACCUCGCUUUAGCGUCACUAGGAACACAAGGGACAUACAGUUUACAAUAUCACCAAGCAACUAAAAGGAUACGAAAGAUAUACAUCCGUAGGUAGUUGUUAUUCUUGUUCUGAAAUAACGGAUUUUAAGGCCAGGCUAAUAAAAUGUAUUCAAAUAAUUGCAUAAAUUAUUUGUAGGAACUAUUCGAUAUAGGUUAAAAUAUUUCUAAUUAAUGAUUGGAUUAAGGAGCGCGUACGAGGGUAAAUCAACCUAACAAUUAUAUUCUAUACUUUUAUGCAGCUAAUAAGUGGGUAGCCAAUCGGCAUGAUUUAAUUCAAGUCCACAUGCAGAAGUCUGCAUCCGACAAGAAGUUAUCCGUCGGGAAAUAAUGAAUAAAAAUAAAAGUUAGCAUUAAAGCAAUUGAAGGACAUGAAUAAUAUGAAAUAAUAGUAUGUUCUUCCAUGCUUUAGUCUUAAUAUUAUAUUAGGUAAGAGAAACUAAGAGCUGAUACAAUACAAUGGUCGAGGCUUAUAGGCCUCUCUUUUUCAUGUAUGAUAAUAUCAUAUGGUAUUAUGGAAGUUUAUUUGUUGCGAGUAUUUGUCUCACAUUAAGAAAUUGGCAUGAGCUUAUAAUCGAUUGGACUAUUUUCACUAUUGUCAAUUGGUUUUGAAGUGGAACAUCAACUUCAUUAUAAUUAAGAAGUUGAGCUACUCCCUAUAUGAUAACCCUUUUAAGCAAAUCUUAACAACAAAAAAUGGAAAUAGAAUGCUAACAAUGAAAAUGAAUCCAUUCAAAGGUUGUUAUCUUGAUUGGGACAAUAUCCUUACCUUACCCCUUUCCUUUUCCGUGUGUUCUGCAUUCCCAUAACAACAAUCAGCAAUGUGAUUUCUUCAUCACUUAGGGCAUGUUUACAUAUCAGUAAUGGAGAAAGUAAGGAAUCAGAGAAUUUAAGAAUCAGGGAACUACUGAAUCGGUAUGGGAAGAAUCAUUCCCAUUAAGCUGUUUACUAAAUAUAUGGAAUUAGCAGAGAAAUGAGGUUGAUCGCCGUUGUUAUUGUUUACUAACUUUCAUGAAUCAGAAUCCAAAUUAAUUUGAUUACUAAAAUGCCCUGCACAUUUUCACCACAAUACAUAUAUAAUUCUCAAAUUGACUAAGAAGACCAAACUAAUCCUGCAACAAACCAGUAAGGCGGUGUAAACAUGAGGAAUCAAUAUGUUGAACAAGAUGAGCAACAGGAGCCCAGUUCAAUGAUAAUAUUAAUAACACUUUUGUCCAGAGCCAAUUUCAAACGAAAAAAUAAAUUCCAAUAAAUAUAUAUCUUUCACCUACGUAACUAGUACACAAUCAAAUAAUAAUAACCUGCAUAAUCUUCAUACGAUUAAAUACAUGGAACUUCUUGGAAAUAAGUUUUUAUUUUUUUUAGGGUCGGAGCGUCUUGGAACUUCUUGACUUGAGUUUUUAUUUUUUUUAGGGUUUGGGGUGUUUUGGAAUUAUGGUAAAGUGGUAAGGGUAUUUUCGGAAGUUACUAAGAGAAAACAGGAAUGAGAAUCGUAUCGACUACUCUCCCUAGUUGAUCUAAUACCUAGUUUUGAGGGGAUGUGAUUACGAAUUUUGAGAUGGGGUCCACUUAUUUUUUCAUUCCUGAUUGCAAGUAAAUGCAGGGGAAGUCAGGAAUGGAAAUCAUUCCCUUCCUCCAAUACCUUUUGGUUAUUGACCGCUCCUUUUUUAUUUUAUUUUUAAAAUUUUAUAUUUAAAUUUAUAAAAUCUACAGUUCUUAGUUAUUUCUGUGGCUGCGUCAAUUUCAAAAUUGAGGACUUUUUUUCUUCUAUUUUUAUGUUUACAUGUUGUAUAUGGGGAUUUUUUUUAAUUUCUAUUUUUAAUUUUGCAUAUAUGUAUGUGUGUUUGAGCCUUGACAUUUUCAGGGUAAACAAUAUGGGGACAUUCAUUAUGCGAAGUUAACUCUCUUUUUAAAAUUAUUAUUAUAAUACAAGAGAUACCCUUUUUAACUCUCUUUUUAAACCAUUUCUGAAUUACAAAGGGAGGGGAGUUUUUUUACAUAUACUAUCAAAGUAUUAUGAAAUUCAAACCUGAGAGUAGUCUUCAAGUCAAUACCCUUUUUAACUGGCUAAACCCCGUCAGCUGUUAGACUCUCUUUUGAUAGAGUAAACGCAUACAAAGUCGUUGUCAUUUUGUUUGGCAAACUACGCUGCAAGACUACAGACGAAGCAGCUAGCGGGUUGAGUGAAGGUUAGCAUUCAAGCCAACGACACGAUUUAAUUUAAUAAUAGUCUGUUCGUCAUAUGCUUUAAUUUAAUAAUGUAUUAGGUACGCGAUAUAAUACAGUGACUGAGGCUUGUGGGCCUAUUUACUUUCUUUGAAUAUUUACUAGAAAACUAAACAUUUGUUUUGAGUGAUUAUCUCGAAGGCUUUUGUUUAAUCUAAAAGCGCGACCAAUCUUUUAUCUUACAAAAGUACAAACUAAGAGAGGGCAAGACACAGACUCAAGCCUCUCAAUUGUAUGAUGAAUCUAAUAACAUCGUUGCUUACCAACUCUUUGUACCUGCACUAUAGAAUUCCGACGUGACUUAAUAACUUUUUUAAAAGCAAGACACAAACUCAAAGCAUUUUAAACUGUAUCAUGAUAAUGUAAUUUACUACUAAUGAUAAUAUCAUUGAGUAUAGAAUUUGUAUUUGACUAAUAAUUUUGAUGUAGUAACGCGUUUUACGUACGUAAUAUUAUUAUAAUGUGUGUGAACUGAAAGACCAAGUGGCCGUGAGAGGAUUACACCGAAGAAUUUCUCAAUAUAUCAAAACGAGAGGCAUAUAUGGCUUGGUAAAAUAUUGUUGGUCAUGAUCAUGUUCUCCAACUAGAAUUGUAGUAGUGAACUUGAAGGAAUUCAUAAUAAUGGAAGCGUACGUACGGCAGCACCAGCAGAUAUGAUCCUCUAAAUAAUGAUAUCAACAAGAAAAAUGACGCCACAGAUGUUGGUAUUUCCAGCUCUCGCAGCUCAGAUGAUGUCGACUGGAGCGACGCCGGCGGUGGCGGUCAAGGAAAGGUGCCCAAAGGUGGCGGUCACAACAUUAGGAGCAAUACCAUUAUAGGAGAUGGAGGCGAGAAAGGGUUUCACAACUUUAGAAAUUGCACUGAAGAUGACGGCGGCAGCAGCAACUAUAUUAGUGAAAAUGAAAUUAGGGCACGCAAUGGAGCCUCAAAAGUUGGGAUGUCCAACUUUCACAACCAGGAUGGUGAAGGCGGCGGUGAAGGAAAGAAACCCAAAAGCGUCGUGGGUCACAACAUUUGUGACAACAAAAUUAGUGCAGAUACUUCCACGAACGUGGGAUUGCACGACUUUGGCAACAUCAAAUAGAACUGCAAGACUACUAGUACUAAAGAUCAUCAUCGUUUUGGGGAAAAUAUUUUCAAAAGUUCGCAUAAAACAACUGAAGCACAUAAAUAAUUGAAAUAAAACAAUAGUCUUUGGUAUGUGUAUAUUUCGAUGUACGAAAAAUAAGAGCUCAUACAGCUAUCUCUGAGGCUUGCAGGCCUCCUUUUAUGUAUAUGUAAUAAUAUUCUUGUUUUUCGUUGCCUAGGCAAUCCUCAAUGGAAGAGUUUUCGGGCCCUAUAUCCAAAAAUGUGCCGGAGAGCUAAUGCUAAAUGUGUGUACUAGUCUAUUGUUUGGUGCUAUACUUAACUUUGGCAUAGACUGGUGCACUGUUGGUACAAGACUGAAUUGGACUACUGGAUCUUAUUGAUGGACGAAUUCCAAGUGAAAUACCAAAUCUGACUCCUAAAUUCACUCCUUAUUAUUGACCAAAAAGAAAUAAAUUUCUCUCCUUAUUAGGCUGUCAUGUUUGGGGUUGACUAUGAUGAUUGCAUUUUGCUAAAAUUGAAAAUCAGGACUGUCAUGUUGGGUGGUUUUGUUCAAAUUGGGAACUGUCUGUGAUUGUAUGUAUGCUAAUAUGUUUACAUUUAAUGCUUUUUCCUUUUCAUUUCAGUUGGGAACUGAUCAUUGUGGUCGUGGAGCUUCCCCUCGUGGUUUGCGCUCUUUUAUUCAACUUUUUGGGGGUCUUGCGUAUGUUUUAUAACCAUUUCUCUGAUACUUAUGUUUGAUUCUAAUAGUGUUGCAGGAUAGACUAUUUGGAAUUUUUGAAAACUGUCAAAAGUUAUUUAUUUUAAUUACAUAAUGCUGCAAACUCCAGCUUUCUUCCAUGCUCUAAGUAAUUGUUAUGCUUUUAAUUUUUGUUUGUGUUGAUGCAUGUUGUAUGUCUCCCUUACUUUGUUCUUUGGUCAAUACUCAAGUAGUAUUUUUAUUUCUUGUUAUAUGCAAUAUGGUUAUACUUGGCUGAUCACAAACUUUCUUUUUUUACUAGCUCUUGUUGUUUCCUUAUUUCUCCGCUUUUAAUCCUCUUGAGAAUGCUUUUCCCUGUUUCAUGUAUUUCUUAUUAGUCGGACAGUGCUUAGGACUUUAGAAUUUUUUAGAACUUUGAUCCAUAUGUUAAUGUUUUGGCAGUCUGGUAUGGUUAGGGAGGCUCCAGCCAAAGCAAGUCGAGCUUGUAAUGUACUGCAAUUCUAGCUCUUCAAUGUUGGUGUAGAUGCAUAAUACUGUAUUCUCUUUCUUUUCAAGCUUUUAAUGUUGGAUUGAAAUAUUUAUAUCAUUUAGUUAUUAACAAUUUGAGAGUUGGAAACUAUCAAGUACUGUGCAAUAUUUCAUGAUAAUUGUUGAAUGAAGAUAUGACUUCUAUUUAUUUUAGUUUGGCAGUACAAGAGUUGAAUGACGUGCGGGAGAACAAAAAAAUUCAUUGUUACACCACUUGAUAAACCUAGAUUCAAUCGAUGUCAUAAUUAUAAUAAACAUCAUAUUAUAACAUGAAGUGUUGUUUUUACCUCUUAAGACAUCGGGAAAUAUAUCAUUAUAGUGGUUCUUGUUAAAAAGAAUCGCAAAUAUGAAGAAAACGAUGCUCAUAACAGCCAGACACUACAAUGUGUGAAAAUAACCGAUGCUAAAACCUUAAGUGAUGUGAUUCUUAUGAAAAGGCAUCAGUGCUAUAUAAAGGACUGUUGUUGUUGUAGUCAAAGACAUCAGAAGUCAACAAAAUUUGGACGAAAGUCAAUAAUUGAAGCUCAUUAAGGCAUCAUUUUGUUGAAGAAACCGAUGUUUAUGUAAAAGGCAUUGAUUUUCCCUGAUGACUUUUACACCCCUCCUUUAACAUCACAUUACGAGGCAGCCGUAUGUGAUAGUAAAACGCAUCAAUUUUCUCUGAUGCCUGUUAGCCUUUUUUUGGUAGUGUGAACUCUCGGAUGGAUGUCUCGAUUGCUGAGUUGGUUGCUCCUUUUUAUAUCGAGGGAUGACUCAUAGUUAACCAUACAUGUCGAUGUGGGAUUAAAUACAUGAUUCUAACAUAUAUAGCCAUGAUUCAUAUCCAACAAUUAGAACCUCAUGUAUGUUGAGGUUCGAUCCCAAGGAAUAAUAUUUUUUCCUCUCACAUCCUUACACAGGGUCAUAAAGUAGAUAUAUAUAUAUAUAUAUAGUCCCUUUCUGUUAGGGAUUCUUUAAAUAAUUUUAUUUGAGGGAUACCCUUUAGGGUACCAUACGAUUUUUUUUUUUUCCAACGAUCCAAACUAUCUAAUUUUGAAGUCUUCAUUCAUAGAUCUUCCUUACAACAACAACAACAACAACAAAAAAGACAAAUUGAAAAUCAUUAAAGCAUCUAAUUAAGACCAACAAAAUUAAUGAACACGGUGCUUCAAGAAAGUACACAAAUUUCAAUAAUUUAAUUGAAUGGUCAAAUGAUAUCGGAUUCAAGUAUUUUUUUUUUGUAGAGAUGAUCUUAUAAUGAAUAUUCACACAAUAGACGAUUUAGAUUAGUGAAAUAUAAUAUGGAGUGGGCCUUACAAAGGUGUCACUCUUCACUUUAUGAACCUGUGUUGACAGAAGUGUGAGAAUAUAGCUUAGAAAGCAAGCUAAUGCCCACUUGACAAUAUUCCUCCACUUUUAUCUAUAUAUAGUGGGGAGAAAUAUACCAUGUUUUGAAAGUGGACAAGGCAAAGCAAUCUUCAACUUUGACCAGCUUCCAACUGAUACGUACAAUGACAUUUACCAAUAUGCUGAAGGCGUUGGGUUUGCUCAACAAUGGUCCAGCUCCAGAGCAAUGCUACAAUCCAAAUAGUACCAGAGGCACUCCUGCACCUGCUACUUCCAAAGGAUAUAAUCAUCCAGGUUAUUCUCCUCCUCCUCCUCCUCUUCCUAAUGUGGUUAAUGGCUAUCCAGUCAAUAAUAAUUACACUCCUAAUCCUGCUCCUAAUGCGUACUACUACUAUUAUCCCACACAACCAGCCCCAACUAAUCCUUCAGAAAUAAGCCAUGAUAAUGUGACGACGUUUGUUCCUCAUGGACAUGACAUUAGUGAGGGCUUAAAGCCACCCAAUGCAUAUGACAAUAGUUCCUCAAUUGCUGGACCUGACCAACCGGCAAAUUCGAAAAGUAGAAUUAGUACUUGUGCUAAUCCCCAGCUGCCCAAGAGUAAUGGAAAAGUUGACAAGCACAAGAAUAUUGGAGAAAAGAAUGGCAAGAAAAAGAACGGGAAAAAAAAGAGUUCCAGAUCAAGCGGCGAUUCAUUCAAGGUUCAUGGGAAUACUAUUAAUGGAGGCAAAGGCGACAAGGUUGGAGUUUUCGACUUUGGUAACAAGUAUAGUAGAGGCGGCAAGAAGAGAGAUGAAGAAGAAGAAGACUCGACUGAAGAAGAAACUGACUCCGGUACUGAAGACGAAAGAGAUUAGUUCUGAAGUAAUUACUACAUAUAUGAUGGCAACAGUAAAUAAUGGAGUUGUCAAAAUAUAUAGGCAACUUACAUGGUACUUAAAGAUCAAAUUCAAAGCAAAGGACCCACUAGUGUAGUGGUUUUUGGAGUAUUUACUCCCUCAGGCAAGGUCCUGGGUUCGAGUCCUAGCAUCCGUGUUGUGUGUGUGAGUUUAAUAUACUAUCGCCCCUUUCAAUAGAAAAGGACCUCAAAAAAAAAAAAAAAAAAAAAAAAAAGAUCAAAUUCAACAAUAUUCUGUAAAUGUUAUCUAGUCACUCUUGAUUUCAAAGAAAAAAAAAAUUGUGUAACGAUUAUAUCUAGCUAUUCAAUCGCAGUUAUGGUGGAUAUGUAUUCAAUCUUAUGAAAUAAUAUUUCAUUUGAGAGCAGUUAUUUUCAAAUAGCAAGUACUCGAAAUAUACGUUGGGAUUAAGCAAUCUUUAUUUAUUUAUUUAUUAAAGGCCAAAGACCAAAAGACUUUAUUCAUCAAUAAAAUGCAGAGAACACAAAUCAUCUGAAGGUAAGAGUGAAGCCAACUAGGCCCCCUUCAAUCCAAUAACAUGUCUCAUUACAAGAUUAAGCAAAUUUGGCUAAUUGGGGAGCCACAAAAUUACAUGAACGAGUGCUCAUGUCAAAUUCAGUUCGGUUCAUGGCCUUAAUCACCUCCAAACAAUCACUUUCAAUAAUCAACCUUGUGAACCCUGCAUCUAAUGUCAUAUGACAACCUAGGCUUCAAAAGCCUUAGGUAAAGACAGCCAAUUACAAGUUUAGCCAUGGCAUCCAUUAAUUCUUCAUUGGCAUUUCGGACUACUACCCCAUCUUUCUAUCAGCCACACAACAUGCCAUCAACAAUUAAUUUUAGCAAAUCCCCCUCAGGAGGUUUCCAACGUCAAGUAACUAAUUGGGACUAAGUAAUCUGCAAAGUGACUGGAAGAUUAUUUUUUCUAGCCACUUGAAAAAUGUUACUCUAUUUAGCUAUGAGAAUCACGACAUUUCUAAUAAUAAAAUAAUAUCUCUUAUUGUAAACAUUUUCUAAUAUUAAAAUAAUAACUCUUAUUAGAAACACUUACAUAUAUGUUGUUUACACAAUAAUCAACCGAGCAUAUCCAGCCUCAAAGCGACUAGCACCAAAGGCAGACACGCCUUCUUCCCUGCCGAAGGAAGACAUUUUUCUGAGGUACCAAGCACCUGCUGAAGCUCCCGACUGCCGAACCUAAUCUCCAGCACACGUGUCACCACCACAGUGACUUGCACAAAGUCCCACAUCGAAACUUUGUGCAAACCUCCCACUUUCACCUCUCUAUAAAUAGGGAACAAUACCCAAGUAAAAAGGGUAACUUCUCUCUCACUUUUACUGUUACCCUACCAAUUUUACUACUCCUAGCUGACUUAAGCAUCGGAGAGCCUUCGGCCAGCACCACACCGGUAUUUGAAGCUUAACGACUGCUUCUUCUAUUUUAUCUUCUCCAGACUCUUCUCUUACCAAAGGUCCGCACCUUCUCCCCUGCUUAAGGCAAUCUACUUCUCUCUAAGUUCACCUCCCAAAAAGAGCAUCAAUGCGUGUGACAAUGACAGAAUGCAAAAGAUAAGGAGAGAAAACGAUGAGGAUUAGCAAAGCCUCUUCUUUUACAUAAUAGUCUUGAUAGAUAUGUUUCCUAAAAAUGUCCUCAAAAUACUUUUACAGGUUGGAGCCUAACACCAACAAAUGCAGUGCAGUAGUGGGUCUUGGAAAAGGUUUAAAGUUAGAAUCUUCCUCCGUGUCAUGACUCAUACAUAACAUUUGAGGUGUGAAACAUCCUUCAACCAAGAAAAACUGGAAGCCAUAAAGCUUGACGUCUUCGUAGCAAAAGAGAAAGGGUAUAUAUACUUUACUUUUCGUAAAAAGAAAAGGUAUAGUCAGAAUAAAAUUUUCUUUUUAUUUGAUGGUGAGAAUGAGUAAGCAGUGACAGAUUUAUUUAAGGGUGAGUGAAGACUAUUACCCUUAUUAGGUCCUUUUUGUUGCCCGUGAAAUUCAAUUGAUACUCUUUUUGAGCAAAGUGCUAUGGGGACAAACUGUUUGAUAAAAUUCCUUACAUAUAAAUUAUCUAGCACCCACCAUCUUCUUUUUGUUUGAUGCUAAGAAUAAAGUUCAUUCAUUGUAUUAUCGAUCGAGUAUGGCUAAGUCCUUAAUAAAAAAACCCAGUACUCUAAACCCUCACGCAUACGACUUCAUUGGAAUAUUCAAAGAGCGUUUGAAAAGCUUUCAGGAAUUGGAAGCCAAUUCUUUAUUACGUGCUAAGAAAGAAUCAUAUUCCGCCCAUACCAGGAAGAAAUAUCAUCAUCAAUCACAUUCUCUUCUCGACAAAGCUAACACUUAUAUAAGAACCCAAGUUAAUUACCAAGACGUGUAUGCAAACUUAAGAUAAAAAAUGUCGACUGGCAACCUAUUUCUAAAGCCUGACUUGGAGAACCAAAACAGCAGGUUCUCGAGGCCACCAGGUUAUGCCCCCCAGCCAGCAGCUGCUUCCAACAGCAAUGGAAAAAGUGGCAGCAAAGCAAAGAGUGGCUCUAAGAAAAAGAAAGGCAAGCCAUCAGGCGAUAAUUUCAGAAUUAGUGGGAAUACUAUUAACGGAGGCAAAGCCGACAAGGCCGGAGUUUUCGGGUUUGGCAACAAGUACAUUGGCCGCAAGAAACAGAUAGAAGAGGAGUCCAGUUCUGGAAGCGAAAGCGAUGACUCCAGUGAAGACAGAGAGUGAAGUGUAUAAUAGAAGGUUUGUGGACCAUAAUUAAAUAAUGACUUUUCCACUGCCUCUUAAUAUGCACUGAAUUACUAAAAAUAGCUAGAAUAACAGAGGUUUUGUAGGCCUCUUUCUCUUGUUAUACAUAUAUGUGUGUAAUUUAAAGAGAAAUAAUAUAUAGGCAAACCUUGCUAUAUAUAUGAUCCACAUGCAAUUCCACAUUAAUUAAAGCGACCCCAAAUGCAAGACAGGACUUCCAAUUCAAUGAUAUAAUUGAUGCUGAAGCAAUUUUCAACCUAGAUUAGUACUAGUCUAACCAUGUUGGAUCAAAGUCACUAAAUUUGAGGAUUAAACCCAACUCCUCAAUGAAAAUUUGGAUCUAUAUCAUAUUUUUUAUAUUUAUUUCUCAAUACAAAAUUACCAAUUUUCAGCUAGCUUGUUCCUAUAUACUAGAUAAACAAUCUUAACAUGAUUCCAUUCCCAGGUUCAAAGCAUUUGCAAUGCAAACCCUCUCUUUUUCAUCUAUGUCCAACAGUUUUGGGAUCCCUUUCAUGUUGUAGGGUCUGAUAUGAUAUGAGUUACUCCUCACCUUUCUCAGUGCCCCAUCCUUCUAAAUCCUUUGGGCCUUGACAACAAUAACUAAUUUUGUGGAUCCCUAAACCCAAAAAUAACAAGAAAAACUAAAUAGGGACUGCUACGGGCCUUCAAACAAGGUAAGGCCCAGAGAGGAUAAGGUAGGUUGGAAAAUAGGACAGUUGGGUGCAAAGAUAGGAUUGUGGUUUUUCAAAUUUUCAUGGUGGGUGAGAAGAUAAGGUAGAUGGGGAAAUAGGACAGGGGGUGGAAAUAGCAGCACUAAUUAUUUUUCAGUCAAAUUCGGAGUAGAUUAAUGAUUUGCAAGUAUAUACAUUUUGUGCAAUGGACACAAAGAAACAAUCUGUGACUCUGUCUUUGGUGCUUAAACUUUGGCAGGUUUGAAUUAUAUGGGUGUAGCAGGGACAACUCUUGCUGUUAGAGCUACAACAAGGAGAGGUUGAAGAUAAAAUUUGCAGGUGUUUGACUGGGAGUUAUCAGAAGAUGACCUUGACAAGAUCAAUCAAAUCCCACAGCACAAAAUGAUGAGGAGAGAGAAGAACUGGAUUCGGCAGAUGGAUUAUUAUCACGAUACAAAUCCGUUGAAGAAUUAUGGGACGGAGAGAUUUAGACCUGAAAACCAACCCUUGUUAAGUAACAUGGAGUGCAUCCAAAAAAAGGCGCCAGGGCCCAUCUCUAAUAGGAUUUUUAUACUUGAUAGGAAGGGAGGCCUUCCACUAUAUAUUUUUUUGGUUAUCAAACAGGAGCUUAAAUAUUGAGAAUUUGAGGUGAUUCCAGAGUAAUCCUUUUUGGUCGCCUCAAAUUCUAUAAUCCAUAAACUAGAUCUUAAUAAGUAAAAUUUGUCAAUUUGUCGAAAUAAAUUGCCAUAAGCUUCCUAGAAACACAAGGGGCUCACUAAUCAUCAAUUAAUCAGAAAAUGGAUGUGAUUGCAAUCAAUUGAAAAUAGAAAGAAAAAGAAGAAGUGAGUAUUUUUGAUAGUUAAAUAGGACGUAGUUAGUUAAUUUUAUAUUUUACUUUAAAUAUUAGGGUGUACGAUUAUAGGGUGCACUCAGUAAAUUUUAGGGUUCGUUUAACAACGCCCUUUAUUUAUAGAAACCAAACAAAUCAGAAAGAGAAUUGAUCAUUUUUACCUUAUGGGUAAUUAAGAUAAGAGCCGUAUCCCACACUACCCCAUCUUUAGUAUGUUGUUCCUCCAUAGGCUGUUCAUUCAUAACAUAUUAGGGGUUGUUUCGUACGGGGGACUGUCAUGUACUGGAUUAAAUAUUGGUACUGUCUUAGAUUGGCUUGGCCUGGCAUAAGCUGGAUAACACUUGUACAGCGUUUGGUGUAUGUUUGAUUGGACUAGGACUAUAUAUAUAUAUAUAUAUAUAUAUAUAUUUUUUUUUUGAAGUAAGAUUUUUUAAUAUUUUUUUGACUUUUCUUCUCUCUCCAUCUUUUUCUUCCUCUUUGCAUCUCGUUUUUUUCUUUUUUGGACGAACCUCUCUACAUCUCUUUCUUCUUCUUCCCCUAUACAUAUCUUCCAUCUUCUUCUUCUCCAUUCUCUCCUCUUCUUCUGUCUACUUUUCUUUUCUUUUCUUUUUUUCAAAAAUUUUCUCCCAUCUUCUUUGUUUUUUUUUUUCUAAAAUUUUCUCUCCUCUUCUUCUACAUUUUCUUUCCUCUUCGUCUCCAUUUUCUUUCUCCUUCUCUAUUUUUUUCGAAAAAUUUCUCUCAUCUCUUCUUCUCCAUUUUCUCUCCUCUUCUUUGUUUUGUUUUUCGAAAAUUUUUUGUUCUCUCCUCUUCCUCUUCUAUUAUGUCUUCUCCUUCUUGGGUGGCUGUGGUUGGUGGCUGGUGGCUGUGGUUGGUGGUCGUGGUGGGUGGUCGUAUCUGGUGGUUGGGGAUGGUGCUUGUGGCUGCCGCUUGGUGGGUCGUUGAUUGUGGGUGAAACAAACAUGGGAUAAAACUUUAGCCAAACCAGUCCAAGCUUGCACGGUGUAACAAACAUGCCCUUAUUAUAUUAACAUAGCAGCUUAAUUUGAAAAGGACAAGAUUCUUAUCUUAAGGAAGCUUCGUAAUGUCUUAAUUGUUUGCUGGUCGUGAACCACCAUUAUAACUGGGCCCAUUAUUAAGGACCUUCAAUUUUCUUGUUUUUGAAUUUAUUCUGGAUUUGCUCGAGCUCCAAUUGUUUGGAAGUCACGGAACAUAUAAGAAGAAUCGAAUACUUCAAAGGUAGUGAAAUUAUUCGAAAAAACUAAUUAAAGUAAAAAGAAAAAGAUUGUGUUCAAACUAGCUAGCUAGUGAAAGGGUGUACCACGAAUAUUGAGACCUUGUUUUUUUAUAGAUCAAAGAUAUAUGAAUGGGACAUUUGAUUAUAGAUAUUAGGUAUAUUCCCCUUUUCAAUCAUAUGAAAAAAGUUAAUUUCAGCCCCAAUUCCUAUAUUAAAACUUGCCUUCACACUUUGGAUUCUACACUAGUUUCGAUUCAAACAACUCCUUCUUCUUAAUUUGUGCUACACAUAUAUAAAGACUCUAGUUAGAGGUGCACUACAUUUAUUCCUAUUAUCACUAACUUAUUAAGAAAUCAUUUUUAUUUGCUAGCAAUUGGGUUCUCUCUCUCCCUCCCAAAUCACGUUUCUGGAGUUUGGGUGGGCCGAGGGGUACGACCUUUCCAGGUUGGUUGUUCCUCAUUAGCAUUAUAUGUUGACGAAAUGGACACAAUUCACAUUCCGAGGGCAUACAGUACGUAACUUGGCAAGCAAGCUAAGACUACGAGUAGAUCAUGAUCUAUAAAAGGGUAGCAUGUUGAUGAUGUUUGAUUUAAAGCGGCCAAGGCAAAAAUUAGCAACCUAGCUAGUUAGCUAAGUAAGUAGUUUUGAGCGUCCAAACUUUUUCCUAGCUAAUGGCAUGUUCUUCUUUUAGGGCGGUAAUUUCAUGUUGUUGCUGUUGUUUCAAGUGUGAGGAAACUCACCAGCCUGUGAAAGAUCCACAGCCUCCUCCUAAAAAUUAUGAUAGUCCCAAACCUACUGUUGUGGAUCCACAGCCUCCUCCUAAAAAUUCUGAUAGCCCCAAACCUACUGUUGUGGAUCCCAGGGCCGGCAUGACUUUCAACAUUCAUGGGAAUGAGAUUAGCAACAACAAAGCCGAUGACGUCGGAUUAUCCCAAUUUGGCAACAAGAAGAAUGGCGGCCCCAUUGCUAACAACCAGGAUGGCGGCUCCCAUGGUGCCAAGCAGGGUGGCGGUGACAAACUUCAUCUCAACUUACAGGGUGAAAGCGACAAAGUUUGUUUCAACUUAGAGGGUAAUAAAAUUCACGGGAACCAGGCCAAGAAUGUCGGAUUUUCUGAAUUUGGCAACGCCUGAAUUGGAAGAAAUGGCAAGAUCUCGUUGCAUGCAAUUGAGGAAGGCCAAUAGGAUCACUUUUGCUUAUUAUAUAUGUACUAAGUCUAUCUACUAAAAUAAGAGCUGAUAAAAAGUAUCCUAACUCAAGUUUGUCUUCGCUUGCGUCUCUUUUCCAUGAAUGAUAGAUUUAGAUGUCAAAUCACCAAAAUAUGUAUGUCAAGAUUUGAAGAAAAAGGAAUUGAAAAAAACAAAUGAAUUUCAAAUGACUCCUUACAUAUAGUCAUUUUAAAUUCAUUGCAAAUGUAUUAAUUACAUUAAAUACAUUCAAUCAAAUGCUAUCAAUUUUAUUUUUUAGCAAAUUUAAACUUGUUGUCAAAUUCAAAUUUUAUUUUUUUUUUCGAAAAUAUCUCUUAGAGCAUCUACAAUGAGCUCUCUAAAUCAUCUCAUUAGACAAAUUUUAGGGAGGAAUUGAAAAAAUACAACUCCAACCAUGCUCCCUAUUCACCUCCUAAAAUAGGAGACCUCUAGGAGCUCUUAAAUCAGAUAAGAGAGAAAUGACUCAUAGUGGCUCCCUAUAAUUUAAUGCUGUUAUUAUUAUUAUUAUUAUUAUUUUUAGAGAUGGACCAAUCAUAUUGAAUUAAAAACUAACUAUAGUAUUUAUGACUCUCUAAACUAGGAAGUAUGAUUGAAAUUCAAAUUUUGUAGAGAACUCUCUUAAAAUAACUUUUAUAUAUUAUUAGCUAAAUUUUAACUAAAAAAUAAGAACCAUGAUUAUAGAUACUCUUAAUAACUAAAAAGGUCAAACCAAUUUCCAAUCAUGAGUCAAAUCAAAGUAGUUCUAAACUUCGUGAAAAUGAGUCACACUGAUCACAAUCCACAAAUCCCAAGGAGUCACUCUUUGGGUUUGGUAAAGGUGCACAAUAUGGAUAGAAAUAAACAAGAAGAAAGAAGAAAUUUUAUCGAGUGAAUGUGUUUGGCCGGUAAGGUUCCAAGUGCCAGACUAUUCAGUUGGUUUGGUUGUUCCAAGGAUAAGAAAAUUCUGUGGAAACUAGUAAAGCAAACAUUUAUUCGUGUAGAUAUAGAUAUAUAUAUAUAUAUAUAUAUAUGGGAAGUCAUAAAGGGUUUUAUAAUUUUGUGGAUUAUUCUCUCUAUUUUUUUUUUCUAAUUAAGUAAAAACUGGGAAGGGGAAAUCUCACACACACGGGUACCGCAGGGAUUUGAACCAAAGUUCACUUGGGAGCACACCAAAGACCUGAAUCAAUCCAACCAACACCCUAUUAGUAGUUCCACUCCAGUUCCUUUUAGUAGAACCUGUUAAAAACUGGGAAAGGGAAAGCUCACACACACGGGUACCGCAGGGAUUUGAACUGAAGUUCACUUGGGAGCACACCAAAGACCUGAAUCAAUCCAACCAACACCUUAUUAGUAGUUCCGCUCCAGUUCCUUUUAGUAGAACCUGUUAAAAUUUUGGAUUCUAGAGUUUCAAUUGAACAAUUGAUCUUUCUUCAUUGUGCUCCGCGUAGAGGGUACUCUAAUUACACUUUGAUGGUGUUAAGAUAAGGGGAAACAAAGGAAAAAAAUGUCGGAUUCUCCAACUUUGGCAACGAGUGAAUAGGAAGAAGAGUGAACGGAUAUGGCAAAAUUCUGGUUGCAUGAUUUUGUAUUGGCAUGCAAUUGAAGGCCAUAAAUAAUUCCUGCUUAAGAACUAUUCUUUUGCUUAAUAAUCCCUUUUCAUCAACCUUGCUAGUGUUGAGGAUUUGUACAAGUUUUUUUUUUCUUUUGGUUGCAAUUUCUGGAUCGCAAUGUAUAUAGAUCCUCUCUCAGGUUUCUUACUCCCCGCCGCAACAGACAUGGUCAAGUUAAGUAGGGGUGGGAGAUUCAUUAUUAUACCCUAUAUAGGAGCAUAAAUUAUAAAAACACCCAACAUGAAAUGGACUUUAGUCCUUCUAGAACAUAACAAAGAUGAUUUUCUAACUUCUUAUAAAUUACAAAACUGCCAUUUAUUUUUUAAAACAAACGCAACCCCAAAACCACAUUAAAAAAAUCUAAAAUACUCAAUAGGGCAUCACAGUAAUUUAAUAAUCAAAAUUAAAUUCAAUAGGGCCAGCUGUCAUUUUUUGGGUUGUUUUUUUUUAUUUGUCUAUAGAAAUUAAAUGGUUUAAGAUUUAUCUAUAUCAUUAAUGCUAAGAAUGAGUAUAUAACUAAAUAUCUCUUAGUUUUAAGUAUGAUUAAAAGUCAUUUCGUAUAAUUACCUAUCAUCAUGCUUUACACUGAAAUGAAAAAAAGGUUAUUAUUCUAUGCUAGUUAUUAGCUAUAGUGGAUUGGUCUCUCCAUCAACCAUGUUCACAAAAUUAUUCUAUGCUUUGCCAAAUCACUGACCCAAAUUGGUCGAUGAUGAUUGGAGUGUUGACCCAGUUGUCUUAAUUAGGAAUGUCAAUGACCACAGCAUAUUUAUUAGUGUGUUUUUUCAUGUUUUGCUUUCGUUGAUUUUGUAUAUUUAGUUUGAUCCCAUCUUUGGGGUUGGUUUUGUUGUGGGGUUUGGUUAGUUAUCCCCCGUUGUUGAAUUCUUCUUUUUAAUAAAUUUCUCCUCGUACGAUCAAGGUUCCAAAAGAAAAAAAGAAAGGACUCAUAUGACAUUCCUCCUGAUCUUGAUAUAAUCUAUAUAUAAAUUGACUAGUAUAACAUUAGCAAUGCAGAGUAUGGAGGAAGACAAUGAAGAAAAAAUUGGCAUAAAGGAUAGUCGUGACUUGGAUUGGAAGAUUUACAAGAAGAAGAAUAAAGUAUGGCGAUAUGGAGCAUAGGUUUUAACACUUCAACUACCACAACAACAAAAAAUGGUAACAGUCAUUAUUAUUUGGUGACAGAAUCAAACUGUAGCACAAAGGAAAACAAUUCACAUUCGGAGGGCAUAAGUAGCUUGGCAAACAAGCUAAUGAUAUUCUUACCUUCACUAUGAUCAUCUAUAUAUAUAUAUAUAUAUAUAUAUAUACAGAGAGCUUCCAUUGAGGGAUCCCUCAAAUAAACUUAUUUGAGGGACACCUCUUGUAGGCCCCACUCCGGAUUGUAUUUCACUAAUCUAAACCGUCUAUUUUGUAGAUACUCAUUCAAAGAUCAUCUCUACAAAAAAUCACUUGAAUCCGAUAUCAUUUGACCACUCAAUUAAGUUAUUGAAAUUUUAGUACUUUCUUAAAGCACCGUGUUCAUUGAUUUUGUAAGACACAAUUGAAUGUCGAAAUGGAAGCCGAUUUGUCUAAUUUUUUGUAAGGAUGAUCUAUGUAUGAAGACUUAAAAAAUAGAUGGUUUGGAUCAUUGGGAAAAAAAUUGUAGGAUACCCUAAAGGGCGUCCCUCAAAUAAACUUAUUUGAGGGAUCCCUCAAUAGAAGGGGACUGAUAAAUAUAUAAGUGGAGUGGACAAAUGAAGGCAAAUUAACUCGUAAGCUAGCUCUUACCUCUUGAGCCUAUCCCUCUCCAACUGAUAUCCCACAAUGAUCAUUUGCUCCUUAAUUCUCGGUUUCUUGGAUGCGUUGGGCCGGGACCCUGAAGAGCCUAAGCGUAAUCGCCCACAGCGGCCUCCUCCUAAUUAUAAAUUUAUAAUUACUGUAAUCCCAAUCCCAAGUAUAAUUGUAAUCCCAAUCCCAACUACAAUUGUAAUCACAAUCCUAACUACAAUUGUAAUCCCAAUCCCAAUCCCAACUAUAAUUGUAAUCCCAAUCCCAAUUAUGAUUAUAAUCCCAAUAGACCCAGACCACCAAGCAACAACGGAGGCAGAUAUCCUGCUGGUCUUGAUCCAAACCGCAAAGCAAACUGUUCACUUUCAAAGGGAACGAAAUUAGCGACAACCACGCCGACGCGCAGGCGUUUAACAACUUCGGCAACGUGCAUAACGGGGUUAAUAGGCAGCACGACGACGAAGACAACGCUAUUUUCGGGUUUGAGGAUAAUAAAGUCAAGGGAAACCAGGGCAAAGUGAAAGGAUUUAACGACUUUGGCAACCAGUACUAUUGAGCAGGAAGAGGAGUACCGGUGAACCAAACCAAUGGCAACCUCUCGCUGCAUGCAUACAAUUGAAGAAGGCCAUAAUAAUAUGUAUUGUGCUAAAAUAUCUACAUUAAAAUAAGAGCUGAUGCAUCAUCUGAGGCUUCUACCUUGGCUAGGCCUCCUUAUCAUGUAUGUGUUACUAAUAUUAUGCUGAUAAAUUAAUGGGAGCUACAUUACGAGUCAGUUUGGAAUUGUUGUUGCUUUAUAAAUAAAUAAAUUAAACUUAUAGUAUGUUUUGAAAAUAAUUAAUUAUAAAAUACAGUAGUUUCAUGUUUGGUAAAUAAUAUUUUUAAAGUGAUUAUGGAUAAUGACUAAAUUAGACAUGAUGUUGAAAGACUUAUGUGCUAACCAUGUGAUGGUAGUAAUGACAAUAAUGGUGGUGGCGGUGGUGGUGGAGGUGGUGGUGGGUGGCGAAUGUAGUUUGGGCAACCACAAACAUAAAAAUAAUUAAGUUAGUCGUUGGUAUAAGUGUAUGGGAUGAUAUGGGUUCAAGCGAAAGAUUUUAUUCUAUAUAAUAUCAAUUAUUUGCUGUAAAAAUUUGAUAACUAAACUUUUCUUGAGGAUGUUAAUGGGGUCUAGCCCAGUGAAAAAGAGUCUUGAUCUGCAAAUCAGUGGUCUCAUGUUCGAAUCUCAUGGCACCUUGGCAGUGUGUGUGUGAGAAACCCCCAUCCCCCUCUAUGUAAGACUAUCCCAUGCAUUCAAAUAAAAUAAAAUUGUUGUGCAUCAUAUAUAUUGAAGAAAUUUUUAUUGAAGUUAACUACAUUUUACUCCAUGCAUAUUAGGGUCAUUAUCAAAAUAGGCCUCAAUGUUUUAAUUUCAUCAAUAUGAAACCCAACUGAAAGGACCCGCUUCGAAUUUUCCUGAAACUCGAGACAAAUCCUGUGGAAUUCCCGACAUCAUCCCGAUACCGGGCCCACCUACUAAAGACCGAGACUUUCUGCCGAAAUUUUGGCAGAGUCUCCCCUGUAAAUUGGACAUUUCUCAAAAUUACCACCUGCAUAAAACACAAUUUAUAUCCCCAACUGGCAGCAUGCACAAAAUAAUUUCAUACAAAUCACAUAAUCGGCAUUCAACCUUCAAAUAAUUCGAAACGAAACCACCAAGUACGAUAUCAAAUCAAUUCCUAUCUUAAACAAGGCAAACAAUAAAUUUAAUCACACUUAAGAAUAUCAAAGCAAUCCAUUACAUUUAAUUUUCUCAACAGCCAACAUACGAGGUUUUAACCUCGUAACACAAUCAUGUUUUCGCCUCAAAUUUCAGGACCAACAACAUGGUCGAACCAAUCUCCAUAAAACAACAUGACUAACAUUUAGCAUGCGGCUGCACCUAGCAACCUUAGGCUGCUUACGUACCCUCCCUGAGGGAUCAAGCCACACGUAGUUCUACCAUAAAACCUAAUCCCACACAUAGGCAAUACCUUAUUUCAUUUCUUUGUAUUUCACAUAAUCUCCCCAUAUGCCGGUACUACCAACGCUACGUAUGGGGCCUGUCAACACGUCAGAUAACCUACGCCACGUGCGACCAUACCAUACUAUCACAAUAUCUCCUCAUACGCCGAUACAACCAACGCCACGUAUGGGGCCUGUUAAUACGCCGGAUAACCUACGCCACGUGCGACCAUACCAUACUAUCACAGUAUCUCCCCAUAAGCCGGUACAACCAACUCCACGUAUGGGGCUUGUCUGCACGCCGGAUAACCUACACCACGUGCGACCAUACCAUACUAUCACAAUAUCUCCCCAUACGCCGGUACAACCAACGCCACGUAUGGGGCCUGUCCGCACGCCGGAUAACCUACGCCACAUGAGACCUAAACAUCAUUCACAAUAUCUCCUCAUACGCCGGUACAACCAACGCCACUUAUGGGGUCUGUCGACACGCUGGAUAACCUACGCCACGUGCGACCUCAACAUAUUAUCACAUAUCUCCCCAUACGCCGGUACAACCAACGCCAUGUAUGGGGCCUGUCUCAACGCCGGAUAACCUACGCCACGCGAGACCUGAACAUCAUAUCACAAUAUCUCUCCAUACGCCGGUACAACCAACGUCACGUAUGGGGUCUGUCGACACGCCAGAUAACCUACGCCACGCGCGACCUCAACAUAAUAUCACAUAAUCUCCCCGUAUGCCGGUACAACCAAUGCCACGUAUGGGGUCUAUCUCAACGCCGAAUAACCUACGCCACGCGAGACCUCAACAUCAUAAUACAAUAUCUCCCCAUACGCCGGUACAACCAAUGCCACGUAUGGGGUCUGUCUGCACGCCGGAUAACCUACCCCACGUGGGACCUAACUUUCAUAGGGUGGUACGUGUAGUGUAACUAAAAUCCGGGGAUGUGCCUAAGGUAGUGCGUAUAGCACUUCAAACUGACAUUCUAAACUCUUUUUGUACCUUUACAAACAUAUAUAAAUAUAUAAUUUAAUUCUAAUAUUGUGUAAACCUCAACAAUAGUCUAGCACCCGAUAAUCCCCUGGAAAGGUGAGACUACUACGAAAGACUCACGGUCAACCAAGGGUCAAACUACCCUAACCUUGGUCAAACGGGCCCACGGGGCCCACGACCUCCAAAUUCCGAUCCGAAAGUUUCUAUGGGUUCUACAAGGUACAAGACAGUCGUCCUGCAAGUUUGGUUCAGAUCGGACAGGCAGAUCGCUCACGAUCGCACGAUCUGACGGUUAAUAUAAAACAUAAACUUUAAAUUAUUUAAUCGGAACAUUCGGGGCUCUGAUUUACGAUCCGUGAAUUCCUACACGAUCUUAGAAAUACCUAGAUUAACAUAUAUUAUAUUCGAGACCAUCCAACGGUCCCAACCUAUCGAACCCGGAUAACGCGCAAUAUGCGAAAAUCCGUUCGAUAGUCAAACGACGUCCGAAUUGAGAUCCGCGAAAUCCUACGCACUCGUGACAACCAGAAGAUCACAUUGGGACAAUAAUGCCCCUCUGCUACAGUGCCCACGCGCCGGCAGCGCGUGGGUGUCCAAAGCGACACAGCUUCGCCGAAAAAUCUCAAAAUCAUGGCUCCAAACUCCUAUUCUAGGUAAAACACCCUAUUUGGAGCCACUUUUGUUCUUGGACCUACGCCCAAAAACUGACCGGAAGUGGCCGGAAUCGAGAUCCCAAAAUCUACCGAAUUUCAAUUCGUAAAUCGAAUUACCUACGCUCAAAAUCGAUGCAAUCAUACCCUACUAUCAGCUAGAGCAUGGAAAAUAGGUAGAAAUACAUACCUUACUCGUCUGAAUCGAUGGCCGGAGGAGAGAGAUCGGGCUCCUUGAACUUUGAGUUAAAAUCGGUCGGAUUUUUGCAUUUUUCAGCGAGCACAGGUGGUUCCAGUGGCUGAGAUUGGUCGAGAUGGGAAGAGGAAGAUAGCACGGUUCUUUUGGGACCGGUGGCCGGAUGCGACGGUGGUGGCCCAAAAACCACCGCGGUGAACAGUAACAAGGGGACUGUUUCUGCGCGGGGAGGAGGGAGACAGAGAGAGAGAGAGAGAAUCUGAUUUUUAUAAAUAAAAAAAAUCCCAUUUUGAAAUAUUUACGAUUUUGUCACUGAACUUGUUUUGUUCGUAACUUCUUUGUUUCAACUCCGAAUUGAGCCCACUACGUGUCUACGGACUCAUCUCAGUACGACCUUCCCAAAAAUACUAGUCACUGUCCCAAACUCCUUUCGGAUAAGAAAAUGACCAAAUUACCCCUAUCUCAAGGGUAAAUUUGUAAUUUCCCUUAAAUAAUUUAAAUUAUUUAAAUAAGGGGUCUAAUUUGGAGUCGGGGUGUUACACCAACGUUUUUAAAUAUUACCAAAUCACGCACUCCUUCAACUUACCGUUUUGAUGGUGAAUUUUGGCGAAAAAAGAUCUUACCUGUUUUGUAGGGGGUGGUAUUUAAUUGAGAUUUUAAUAGAUUGUAAUCACAAGAUUUUAAUAUAAUGGAUUUCAGCCGGAUUUGUAAUUAUAAAAUUUUACUUAUGAUUUUAAUAGAUUGUAAUAACCGGAUUUUACUUAUGAUUUUAAUUCACUUAGGACCAUAGUCUAAAAUAUCGAUAAUAUUCACGAAUCAAGGAUAUUAUUAUUUUUUCGGGUCAAUGAUAUUUUGGAAUGUAUUCAUACACAUAUCGUAUAAAUAUCGAUAAUAUCGGAAAAUAUCGACGUCAAUAAUUUCUCUCACACUUCAGCAAUAUUUGGCAAAAAUAUCGCUAUAAUAUCAAUAAUAUCGAGAUGAUGAAGACAAUGAAGGAGGAGGAUUCUAACUUUAAACCUUUUCCAAGACCCACUAGUACUGCACUGCAUUUGUUGGUGUUAGGCUCCAACCCGUAAAAGCAUUUUGAGGACGUUUUUAGGAAACAUAUCUAUCAAGACUAUUAUGUAAACGAAGAGGCUUUAUUUUAAUAUUAGAAAAUGUUUACAAUAAGAGAUAUUAUUUUAUUAUUAGAAAUGUUGUGAUUCUCAUAGCUAAAUAGAGUAACAUUUUUCAAGUGGCUAGAAAAAAUAAUCUUCCAGUAACUUUGCAGAUUACUUAGUCCCAAUUAGUUACUUGCCAUUGGAAACCUCAUGAGGGGAUUUGCUAAAAUUAAUUGUUGACGGGGCAUGUUGUGUGGCUGAUAAGAUGGGGAUAGUAGCAGUAGUCCGAAAUGUCAAUGAAGAAUUAAUGAAUGCGAUGGCUAAAUUUGUAAUUGGUUGUCUUUCCCCUAAAGCUUUUGAAGCCUAGGUUGUCAUAUGGCAUUAGAUGUAGGAUUCAUAAGGUUCAUUAUUAAAAGUGAUUGUUUGGAGGUGAUUUGUGAAACUCUGUAUUUUUUAUUUAUUAUAUAUAUGUUUUAUUUUGGAAUCUAUGAUAUUAGUAAUAACUAAGUGUUUUAUUAUUAUUCAUUUGAUAUGUAAUUGUUUAAUAAAGUUUUUGAAAGAUAUUUCAGCUUUGGCUUGAACAAAAAGGUUGUUAUAUUGUUAUCCCUUUAGUAAACCGCCAAUUUCUUCAUCCAAUAGAAGUAAAGGUGUAGCCGACAUUCCUCUAGUAUAAAUAGGAAUGCAAUUCUUUCAUUUUGAAACGCACGGCAUGCAUGGUUUGCAUGGAAAAACCAUAAGAGUUAAGAAAGGGAAAUACUAGAGAGAGAGAGAAUUUGGGUGUGGAUGCGGUGGAAAUUAGGGAGUCGUCAUACAAUUAUAGCGAUGCUUUGGAAAUGAGAUAAGGGUUUUUUGGUGACCAUUUACAAAGAUUGAUCUAAUUAAAUGUCGUGAGCAAUAUAAUAUGCAUGAUAUUAUUAUUUGAUUAUUAUUAAUAUUGAGUGUUUAAGUGUUGUUAAUUAUUAUUAUAUCAUUUUAUUAAUAUUGACAUGAUCAUAUGUUAUCAGUGAUGACUGGAAUUCUUGGGUUGAUAAAGAAAGUAUGGAAAAGAGGGUAAUGGAAAUAGUCUUUUGUAUAGUUGAGUCUAACUCUUGGCAGGUACCAGAUCUCAGGGAUCCCACAGUGCACAUGAUUUUUAUUGGGUGAUUCGGGACUGGCGAAAGGGAGUUAGACAAGAUGACUAACAAACGGGGAAUUACCGGAUGAUUGAGAUGGGUGUUAGUUCAUAUAAAUGGACAUUCGGGACCAAGUGAUAUAAGCAUGGUAUGGGACGUGCAGGUCUGCUCGUCCAGUUAUAUGAAUUAACGGGAGUAGAUGAAGAGCAUUCAUGCAUUAUUAUUAUUAAUGUGAUAUUUGGCUGUGUGAUUGCAUAUCGCUUAAUUUAGUUAUAUCAAUCUACUGUGGUAACCUACUGAGCGGUGGUUGCUCACUCCUCACUCUAUUUAAUCUUUUUCAGAUGAAUUAGUGGGCUAGACAAGGACUAAACCAGUUGAGGCUGAAUUAGAUGAGAGUGAUAUAGCUUUAUUUAUUAAUUAUAAAGUUAUAAGAUUUCGGAUCUACUUUUAUAAGAGAAGUUUAUUUUAAACCAUAUUUCGGUUUCUUUUUAUUUUAUUUUAAUUUCUAUUUUCUCAAGUACCGGGCGUGGAGUUUCCACCGACUCCCAAAUCCGUGGCGUGACAUGAUUAAGGCCGUGAACCGAACUGAAUUUGAAAUGAGCACUCGUUCAUGUAAUUUUGUGGCUCACCAAUGAGCCAAAUUUGCUUUAUCUUGUAAUGAGGCAUGUUACUGGAUUGAAGGGGGCCUAGCUGGCUUCACUCUUACCUUCAGAUGAUUUGUGUUCUCUGCAUUCUAUUGAUGAAUAAAGUCUUUAGUCUUUGGCCUUUAAUAAAGAAAUAAAUAAAAGAUUGCUUAAUCCCAACAUAUUUUUCGAGUAUUUGCUAUUUGAAAAUAACUGUUCUCAAAUGAAAUAUAAUUUCAUAAGAUUGAAUACAUCCACCAUAACUGCGAUUGAAUAGCUAGAUAUAAUCGUUACACAAUUUUUUUCUUCUUUCAAAGCAAGAAUGACUAGAUAAAAUUUACAGAAUAUUGUUGAAUUUGAUCUUUAAGUACCAUGUAAGUUGCCUAUAUAUUUUGACUACUGCAUUAUUUACUGUUGCCAUCAUAUAUGUAGUAAUUAUGACCACACAAUAAAAUUUCUUUCGUCUUCAGUACGAAAGUCAGUUUCUUCUUCAGUCGAGUCUUCUUCUUCUUCGUCUCUCUUCUUGCCGCCUCUACUAUACUUGUUACCAAAGUCGAAAACUCCAACCUUGUCGCCUUUGCUUUCAUUAAUAGUAUUCCCAUGAACCUUGAAUGAAUCGCCGCUUGAUCUGGAACUCUUUUUUUUCCCAUUCUUUUUCUUGCCUUUCUUUUCUCCAAUAUUCUAGUGCUUGUCAACUUUUCCAUUAUUCUUGGGCAGCUGGGGAUUAGCACAAGUACUAAUUCUACUUUUCGAAUUUGCCGGUUGGUCAGGUCCAGCAAUUGAGGAACUAUUGCCAUAUGCAUUGGGUGGCUUUAAGACCUCACUAAUGUCAUGUCCAUGAGGAACAAACGCCGUCACAUUAUCAUGGCUUAUUUCUGAAGGAUUAGUUGGGGCUGGUUGUGUGGGAUAAGAUUGCUUUGCCUUUUCACUUUCAAAACAUGGUAUAUUUCUCCCCUUUAUAUAUAUAUAAAAGCGGAGGAAUAUUGUCAAGUGGGCAUUAGCUUGCUUUCCAAGCUAUAUUCUCACACUUCUGUCAACAUAUAUAUAUUUUUCUCUCACAUCCUUGCACAGGUUCAUAAAGUGAUGAGGGAUACCCUUGUAAAGCCCACUCUACAUUAUAUUUCACUAACUCAAAUCGUUUAUUGUGUGGAUAUUCAUUCUAAUAUUAUCUCUACCAAAAAAAAAAAAACUUGAAUCUGAUAUCAUUUGACCAUUCAAUUAAAUUAUUGAAAUUUGUGUACUUUCUUGAAGUACCGUGUUCAUUGAUUUUGUUGGUCUCAAUUAGAUGCCUUAAUGAUUUUCAAUUUGUCUGAUUUUUUGCAAGGAACAUCUAUGAAUGAAGACUUUAAAAUUAGACAGUUUGGAUUGUAGAAAAAAAAAAACUCGUAUAGUAUCCUAAAGGGUGUCCCUCAAAAGAAAGGGACUAUAUAUAUACAUACAUAUAUGAAUAUUAUUCCUUGGGAUCGAACCUCAACAACAUACAUGAGGUUCUAGUUGUUGGAUAUGAAUCAUGGCUAUAUAUGUUAGAAUAGUGUAUUUAAUCCCACAUCGACAUGCAUGGUUAACUAUGAGUCAUCCCUUGAUAUAAAAAGGAACAAUCAACUCAGCAAUCGAGACAUCUAUCCGAGAGUUCGCCGUUUUCGGGUUUGAGGAUAAUAAAGUCAAAGGGAACCAGGGCAAGGUGAAAGGAUAUAAUGACUUUGGCAACCAGUGCUACUGAGAAGGAAGAAAGUGCGCCUGCCUGUGAACCAAACCAAUGGCAAUCUCUCGUUGCAUGCAUGCAUGCAAUUGAAUAUGUACGUACUAAAAUAUCUACACUAAAAUAAGAGCUGAUGCAAUAUAUGUAUACUAUCUGAGGCUCAUUCUUCGGGUAGGCUUCGUUUUUAUGUGUUAUUAAUAUUAUUCUAAUAAAUUAAUGGGUGCUUGACAUUAAUAUCAACUUCUUUUAGAUUAUCAAUGAAAAAUGUCCGCAAAUAAUUUGCCUCUCUCCUGUAUCGUGCUGCCAUCAUAAAUAAACAAAAUUCAAGUCAUAAUAUUCAUAAGUUUGGCUUUUUGACGCACUAAAAAUUUGUUACUAGUUUGGCAACCAAAAACACACACAAUUAAAUUGUCAAAGACAUCGUUAGUAUAAGUAUAUAAAUUGGUCGCUAAUAAAGAUAGUCUCCUUAGCAUUUUCCUUUUCAUGGACAAUCAGAACUAGUUUAUUAAACUUAUGAGUUGUUAACACAGAUGGAGCAAAGCUUCAUGAUGUACAGUAAACGGAUGAAGUGGUUGUUAGGUCCCAUUUGCAUUUUAUUUACCAUACAUGAUAUGAUAAGAGUUGUAUAAAAUCAACAUCCAAUAAGAUUAAUUGGAAUCUGGUCAAACACAUGCAAAAAAAUGCUCUAUCCUCUCAAAUGGGAACCUGUGAAUUCCAUUGGCUGUGAAAUUAUCAACCUUUGGUCCAAAGGCUUUGGAAAGAAAGGUUCUUAUCUCAAGGAAAAUUCCGUAAAGCACUACGUAUUUGUUGGUAGUGAAAUAAGGUUCUUAUCCUAUUUGAACUGUGAUAUAGAGACUUUUUUUUUCCGUUUACAAUAUUUUAUGGUAAGUUUAAUGAUGAGAGAUGCUAUAUAGAAAAUAUGCUUGUUCACUCGUUAUUAAUAAAUUUUCGCAAUUUAAAAAUCAUCACUGCAAAAAAAUCAAUGAAAAAUAUAUUAGAUAUGGAUCUUUCUUUUCUGAAAGCUAUAUAUGUCACCUUCAUUAUCCUUAUCAAAUUCGAACUUGCCAUGCAUGAAUUUGCUUGAACUCAACUAACUCCUCAAAACUAUAGGAAUUUCUCGAAAUUACUAAUUGAACUUCCCACCAUCCAUCUUUCAAGGACCCAACUUACACAAGUAGUCACAAACUAGCUCUCAACCAAGCCUGUUAGAAUUAAGCGUUCCCUUCCCUCCUCCAUUGAUUGAAAAAAGAAAAAAGAAAAAAAAAACACUUACGAAACAAGCCAUGAAUACUUAUAAGAACAAUAUUCUUAUGGUAAUGUCUUAUUUAUAUUUGUUGGUUGCUCCGUUAUUGUAAUGGUCUUUUAUGGCUAGUUUGUAUGGGUCUUUUAUGACUAGUGACUUUUUUGAUUAAAUUAUGAAUGCAAUUCUAUAAUUUAUCAACAACAAAAAAUCAACUAACGCACAUGGAUAAUGGAUCUCUCUCUUUUGAAAACAGCUAAAAGCAACUCCAUUGUCCUUAGUGAAUUUAUUCUUGAUUAGUUUUGUUGAAUUCAUCAUCUUCGAAUUAUUCCAACUUAAUUACGUAGCACAGCUUACGGAUGCAACUGAGCAUCGCACAUAGCUGAGCAAUUAAUGGGUCGUACUCGUAUGUAGCAGAGAAAUUAAAAAGAUAUUUACCCCAAAAAAAAAAAAGUUAAGAUAAGACAUUAGGCCCGUACUGUAGUAUAUUAUUCCAAGAAGAUAAAUGUGAAGAAUCUUAUGAUCAAUAAUAUAGAAUUUGUAUUAUCCUCUGUGCGCAUGCCAACAUCUAUAAAAGGAGACUGUGAGGCAAUAAGUCGAUCAUCCAAGCAAACUCACAGAUUCCAACUAAAAACUAAUCAGCAAGACAAUGACGAGUCACCAAGUGAAAAAUCAGGUGAGAGACACAGUUGAGGAAGGCUUCGACAACCUCCACAGGGUUGCCGACGUCGUGACUUUUCCUUUGGCCCCUCUGGACGGUGCCAUUCACGGCACGGCCCGAGGGGUCGUCAACUGGCUCACAGAUACCCAUCCUGAUAGAUCCAAGUCCAAGCAAAUUCCUAAUGGCGCUGGCUACGGUGGCGGACAUGGGGGCGGCUAUGGCGAUGGCGGAAACGGCAGUGGAUAUGGUGGAAAUCCCAACCGCAGAACUUUCAACUUUAAAGGGAAUGAGGUUAGCAACAACGAGGGCCCAACUUAUGGAUUUAACAACUUUGGCAACAGGCGUGGUGGCGGCCCCUACAGUGGCGGUUCUGAAUUCGGCUUUGAGAACAAUAAACUGAACGGGAACAAGGGCCACACUGAGGGAUUUAACGACUUUGCCAACGAAUACUGAAUAGGAACAAGCUCUAAGCAUGCAUGUAAUGGAAUAAGAGCUGAUCAAAUAUCUGAGGCUUGUAACUAUGCCUCUUUAGUUAUAUAAUAAAUAAAUAAAGGAAGCUGUUAUUUUUACCUUCUUGUCUUAUUUUCUUAUCAACUUUAUCUUUAAAAUUUUAAAGACAAAUUUAUCCCUUUAUAAAAUUACCUCUAAGAACUUAGUAGGACACACAUUUUCAAGCACAAUAAAACACACUUUUAACACCCCUAAAAUCAUUUACUAUCAACUGUUCGACUUCAAAAUAAUAAUUAAUGUUAUUUUUAUCUCUUUUUUUUUUGUCUCAAAAUUAUUCGACUUUUUCUUGGAAGAUAAAUUGCUCUCCCCCAAAAUCGUACUUUCUCUCUCCACUCUCUCGUCAUCUCCUCUAACUCAAAAGUCGAAAGAGAAGAACUUUCUAACCCACCAAAUCAUUCCUAAACUAAAAUUGCCCCGAGAUGGUUACAUCAUAUAGGUAUGGUACAAAAUGUGGUAUUCCUAAGGGAUCCGGAUCCUCUACUUGGAUUUUCUUUACCAUGAACUGCUUAACUUCUUUCCUCCACACACCACCUUAUUAAAAUUUAAUCCAAAGAAUUUAAAGUUGAUCACGUCAACAGACACAAAAUUCUUAAAACAAAAACUUAAUUUCUUCAUAAUUAAAAAAGAAAAAACAAAACCAUAAUUGACCUAACGGGAAAUUAACCUUCUGCAACUGCUUGUUUUUUUUUCUUUUUCCGUUCUAUGCAACGUCUGCCCCAAAAUUCUCACCCUUGCCCCCUCAAUCCAAAAUUCAAUCUUUCUUGUCGAAAACUAAUUAGUUGGUGACUAUAAUGUUGUUUUGAGUAAUAUUUAUGAGUAGUACUUCCUUUAUCUUUUAUUCUUUUGAUCUAGUGUAACUUGAAAAUAAUAAUAAUAAUAAUAAUAAUAAUAAUAAUAAUAAUAAUAAUAAUAAUAAUCUGUGUAUUUAUGGCUUUACACUGAAUUCAAGAAAUUUUCAGAUAACAAAAAAAUAAAAAAAGGAAUAUCAUAAUAGGUUUAGAUAGAGCGCAAAACAAUCUGUCAUUUCCAGAAGAAAAAACAUAGCUACAGUAUUCUUUGCAUUGAUUUUAGGUUUUGGGCUUUGCAAUUGAUACUAUAGUUGCAAGAUUGCACGUACGGGAGAUCGGAAAGAACUAAUUUUCAAAGGAGAAGAGAGAUUGUUGAUUGGGAAGAGACUGAAAGGCUGCCACAAUACAAGUUAGGUUAAUUAUUUUUCAGAGUGUUUAAUUUUUAGUUUUUAGAUCAAAUUUAAAUGAGAUGGCAUGUGGAGAAGAUAAGACAAGCAGAUAAUAGCAGAGAAAAACCAAACAAAUGAUCCAAAUCCAUUUCUAAGCAACAUUUAAAAAGGAUAAUUAGGAAUCCGGUCAAACACACCCAAAAGCUGAAAUGCUCUAUCCUCCUCGCAAAUAAGAAUCAAUGCAACAAUAUGUGAAUUUGUCAGCAUUUGGAAAGAACAAGGUUCUUAUCUUUAGGAAAAUUCCUUACAGCACUAAAUAUUAUUGGUAGUGAAACAUUAACUGGUCAUCAUCUUAUUUCAUGAUGAGGACCUAUAUAUAGCAACUUUUUCUUUAUUCGGUUACAAUUAUAUGUACUAUUUUUAAUGAGGAAAACUAUAUGGACAACACUUGGGUGUACUUCCUUGUUAACCCUCUAUGUGAUUCACGAACCAUUCAUCUUUAUAUCACCAUUUAAAAAAUAUCUCCGUAGCCAUUGGGGUAUAGUUCAGUUAGUUGAGCUCUUCCACCUCCACUCAUGUGAGCAGAGGUUCGAAACCCCAAGCACCGAAUAAAUAUUUGUGUAAAGCCCCUCCCCUAUAAUUGCUUGUACUAAAAAAAAAAAAAAAAAAAACUCAUCUCUACCAAAAAAAAAUUCAAUCAAGUUGUUUAUGGAUGAGGGAUCUCUCUCUUUUGAAAAAGCAAAAAUCAACAAAUCAACUUGAUUAUCCUUACUGAUUUUUUUUCUGGAUUAGUUUUGUUGAAUUCAUCAUCUUAGAAUUAUUCCAACUUACGUAUCACAGCUUACGUAUGCAUGCAAUUGUAAAUGUGAAAUAUUCAAAAUUUCCCGCGACAAGAAAGGGCAUGCCCUGUAGUGUUGGCGUGACUUGUGGAUAUUGACUUACUUUCCUUACACACUAAGAAUUCCUAUUAUAAUUGUAAUUGAUUUACUUUAAUUCCUGAUUUCCUACUGCAAAUAGAUUUAGGAAUUUAUUAUUUACUUGCCCAUUCAGGUUUCGUUGUAUUAUAAAUAUGACCUCCUACAAGGAGAAGAAUACACAGAAAAUUCCCACAAACAAAUAUUCUCUUAUAGUUUUCAUAUUUUAGCAUGGUAUCAGAGCCUGGUUCGAUCUAGGGACCUGUUCUUGUGUUCUUCUUGAAAUUUAAGUGCUCUUCUCCCCCCUUGAGGGGGGGGGUGGGGGAGUGAAAGGGAUAUGUUUAUUGACCUAUCCCAAUUACCUUGACAUAUUUCCAUGAAGAUGUUGCUUAUUUCUUGACUCCGACGACCCCUUCUCUUCAAGGGGAGAGGAGGAUUGAAGAGAAGUUGUGUAUGAGUGAAUUAGCUAAAGUUUAUAUGGAAGAAUUUAUUGUUGCCAUUGUCUCUACUGCCGUGCUCAUGGGGUUUCGGUGUUCUGCCUUACCUAUUGCCGUGCUCACAGGGUUUCUGUGUUCUGCCUUACCAAUUGCUGUGCUCACACAGUUUCUGUGUUCUGCCUUACCUACUGUCGUGCUCACAGGGUUUCUGUGUUCUGCCUUAUCUACAGCCGUGCUCACAGGAUUUCUGUGUUUUGCUAUGUGCCCUAUUUUUUAGGGUUUGCUCUUGUGUUUCCGCUGUGAACUUUGUUUUAGUUUGUCACUUGUUUCACUCGUGGUUGACUAAAAGAUCUUCUCUACAAUUGGUGUUUCUCAAGUAUGGUGUCCUGUGACUCGCUUGUCAAGUUGGGCCUGCGAAAUAUCUUUGCCCAACUUGAGGGGAAGUGUUGGCGAGUCCUUAUUUAGUUAGAAUUUUGGUUCCUUAUUUCAUUAGAAUUUUGGUUACUUACCAAUUAUAUUUUGUCCUAUUGUAAUAGAGAUUAUUUUAUUUAGUGUUAUGGGGGUUGAUGAUUUUUUCAACCCUCAUGGAGGUAGCACCACCGACUCAUUCUCUCAUUCUCCACCAACCAUCGUUGAGUUGAGUGCCCAGAUGGCUCCGCUCCUAUAGAUGCAGACUUUGACCCCGAACCCGAUCCAAAAUCAGGAUCCUCUUUUGACGACCCCGACCCCGACCCCGACUAUGAUGACGACCACCCAGACCCCGACCCCGACUAUGACGACGACGACCCCGACCCCGACCCCGACCCCGACUCCGAAGACGACCCCGACCCCCACUCCGAUGAUGACCCCAACCCCGAAUUUGUCUCUGAUUCAGACCCUGAUCCCGAUUUCAACUCUGACUCCGGCCUCGACUCAGGCUCAUAUUCCGAUCCCAAUUCCUACUCAACUGUAUCCUAUGCAUCUUCCGCUGCACAGAUUAUGACUUCUCGACUAACGACCCCGACGCAUGGACCAGAUUGCGCAUUUUUUGAAAUCCGAGGAUCAAUUGGCGGAUAUUUUGACAAAGGCGAUUUCCAGUAAAGCAUUCCACAAUUCACUGGAUCAGUUGGGCAUUGGCGACAUCUAUGCACCAACGUGAGGGGGAGUGUUGGCGUGACUUGUGGAUAUUGACUUACUUUCCUUACACACUAAGAAUUCCUAUUAUAAUUGUAAUUGAUUUACUUUAAUUCCUGAUUUCCUACUGCAAAUAGAUUUAGGAAUUUAUUAUUUACUUGCCCAUUCAGGUUUCGUUGUAUUAUAAAUAUGACCUCCUACAAGGAGAAGAAUACACAGAAAAUUCCCACAAACAAAUAUUCUCUUAUAGUUUUCAUAUUUUAGCAUGUAGUAGCAAGAAGAUAAGGUAAAUUAUUUAUGUGUGAGGAAUCUUAUGAUCAAUAUGGUAAUAUGAUAAGGGUAUCGGCCUUCAUAAAAUAUUCUCCGCAUGCGCAUGCCAACUACUAUAAAAGGAGACCGUGAGGCAAUAAGUUGAUCAUCAAAGCAAACAAGACAGGGAUCCCAACUAAAUACUAAUCAGCCAGACAAUGACGAGUCAUCAAGUGAAAAAUCAGGUCAGAGACAGUUUUGAGCAAGGCUUCGACAGCCUGCACAGUGUUGCUGAUGUCGUGACUUUCCCUCUGGCCCCUCUGGACGGUGCCAUCCAUGGCACUUCCCGAGGGGUCCUCAACUGGCUCACAGAUACCCAUCCUGAAGAUAGAUCCAACUCCAAGCAAAAGGGUCUUCCCAACGGUGGCGGCUACGGCGGUGGACAGGGCAGCGGUUACGGCGGCGGAAACGGCAGAAAUGGGGGAGGAUAUCCUCUGGGUAUUAAUCCCAACCGCAAACUUGUCACUGUCAAAGGGAAUCAAAUUAGUGACAACAACGCCGACGCUCAGGCAUUUAACAACUUCGCCAACAAGUAUAACGGGGGCUACAACGGUCAUAACUACCACGACAACGGGCAGGGAUUUAACAACUCCGGCAACCGGAAUAACGGGGGCUACAAUGGUCAGAACCACGACGAUGAUGACGAUGAAGACGACGCUAUUUUCGGAUUUGAGGAUAAUAAAAUCAGUGGGAACAAGGGUAAGGUGAAAGGCUUUAACGACUUUGGUAACCAGUACUUCUGAGCAGGAAGUCGACCAAUGUCAAUCUCACCUUCCACAUGCAGUUGAAUAUGUACACUAAAAUAAGAGCUGAUGCAAUAUCUGAGGCUCCUUGGCCUCUUCACCGUGUGUCCUUAAUAUUAUUCAAAUAUAUUAAUGGGAACCUAAUAUAAUAUUAAAUAUCUAAAUUCUUUGCGUUUAACUUUUAGAUUAUCAACGUUAAACUAUAAUUCCGUUUGGGUGAUGUUCUCUAAUUAUAUAUGGCUUCUUUAUUUAUUUAUAUAAGCGGUAUUGAAAAAAGAGAAUUCGAAUGAUUGCAAAGUAAGUAGGAAGAUGAUCAACAUCGGCUUGCUCUUGUUUUUGUUAUUCCAAUGGAUGAUCACCCUAACCCUCAAUCAGAAGAUGUUAAACAGUAAUUAAAAUAGAAAAGUUGAUAGAGGUCCAAAAAUCCAACCAAUAAUUGUGUCUAGUCCUCGAAUUAUUGUUUAUUGAUACAAGUCCUUUGACUAAUUUGCUACGUAGAUUACAUUUCAUCUUUGACAUGUUGAUUCAAACUUUUGUAUUUAACUGAUUUGUAUUUAAAAUUUUUUGUUCCUAUUAUAUCCCUAUUGUCUAAAAUGAUAAGAUGAGAAUUUAUAUGCCAUUAUUUUUAUUUUUGUUCACCCUAUGGUAGAGGUAUAGUAUAGACUCUUAUAGAUAAAUUAUCCUAUGGUAUAGGUAUAUUGUCAUAUUGCCUAUUGCAUACGUAUAUAUUUGUUUUUUCAUAUUUUAGACAAUGAAUAAUAGUAUUUUAUGUACAUUUUUUUAUAGAUAACAUACAAUUUUAUUUGUCUAUUUUUAUAUCUGACUUAUAGGUAGUCUUCUAAUUUAUGUUCCUAACUUAUAGGUAGUAUUCUAAUUUAUGUUCAUGACUUAUAGGUAACACGAUUUAUCACUAAGUUUUUUUCAUUGCUAAUAAGAACACUAUUUACCUAUGUUAGGUACAUAAUUUAAUGUGGGUGCUUGCCUGAUUGAUUAGUAUAAUAUGUGGGCCUUUACUUCAAUUGAUUAAUUUGUAUUUUACCCAUAUAUUAGGUAAGUAUUAUCAAUGAAAGGAUUCCAAAUUUAAAUUUUGAAAUUUAAUUACAAGUAAAUAAUUCAGUAAAUUUAGUUUUUCAAUGUUUUCCUUAUGUACCUCAAAGGGUAAAAUCGACAUAUAUAAUAAAAAGAGUAAUAAAAGUCAAAGGACCUACAUCUAAAACCAAAAAUGCGUGGACUAAGUCCAAUAACAGCUAAUCAUUUUGGACCUAUAUCUAAGAACCCCUAAUUAAAACAUAGUAGUGAGACUUAGUAAGCAAUCAUAGCCAAUGUCUUUUGCUGUUAAUUCUUAAUUAUUAUUUUUCAUAAGUGCAAUUUCUAAUCAAUAUUUUUUAGUUCGUUUGAGCUUGUCUCGUAAAAGAAAGAAAAAAAAACUGUGCUUGAAUUGGCUUUCUUUGCUAAAUGUAUACUUUCAUGUAAUUCCUCUUAAAACCAUUUGGACACCAAUAUUUUAGGGUAACUUUUCAUUCUGGUGUUGUGGCUCAUUUUGGGAAAAGUUCAUAUUUUCAAUGGAAAACUGAUUUUUACAUUAGAAAAAUUGUUUUAUUUUCGAAAAUUCUUGCAUGAUGAUCUAAAUCAAAUCUCUCAUCUAUCCUUGACCAUCUUACGCUUAGUUAUACAUUUUAUCUCCAUUGAUUUCAUCAAGCUCAAGUAUAUAGCUUGAUGAGAUGUGAGCUUAGCAUCCAACUGAAAAAUCUGCAUUCCUAUGGAUUUCGUGGUUGAAGAUGAAGAGCUUCAAGAGCAAGCUGCCACAAGAAGUCCGAAGAACAUGAAGUAAUCAAUGGUUUGGAAAGUUGCACAAGUGGUAUAGCUGCCACUUAGUUAGGAUUAAGUGAUUCGUGCUAAGAAGAUACUUUUGUAUUGAGAUUUCCUUUUGAUUAAUGAAGUUCUUGCCUAGACGGUCCCCCGAUUUUCUAAGUGGUGGUUUCCGAGUCACGAAAAUCUGAUGUUUAUUAGGAAUGUGAUUUUGUGUGGUUGUUUGUUCAUUGAUUGCAUGCCAACUGUAUCACAAAUUGCUUAAAAGGAUUUACAGGUUCUGUGUUUCUCGUUUGCAGAAAGUUAUAUAGUCCUCUUCUAUAUGGAGGGAUACCGUUUGGGACCCAUUACAAAUUUCUUUUUAAUGAUCUAAACUGUUUAUUAUUCAAGUCUAUAUUUAUAGACCAUUCUUUGAAAAAAAUAGUCUAAUCAGAACACGUUUUGACAUCUAGUUGUGCCCAACAAAAUCAACAAUAAAAGCACUAAAAUUUCAAUAAUUUAAUUGAGUGGUCAAAUGAUAUCAGAUUCAAAUAAUUUUUUACAGAGAUGAUCUUUGAAUGAAUUUCUAUAAAAUAGACUGUGUAGAUUAGUGAUAUACAAUGCAGAGUAGGUCUACAAGGGUGUCCCUAAAAUAACUUAUUUGAGGGAUCCCUCAACACUCUCUCUCUCUCUCUCUCUCUCUCUCUCUCUCUCUCUCUCUCUCUCUCUCUCUCUCUCUCUCUCUCUCUCUCUCUCUCUCUCUCUCUCUCUCUCUCUCUCUCUAUAGAUAUAUAUAUAUAUAUAUAUAUCCCCUCCAAUAUAUUGACUGAUCUCUCAAAUAAUAUAUAUAUCUAUAUCCCCUCCAAUAUAUUGACUGAUCUCUCAAAUAAUUUUAUUUGAAGGACACCUUCUAGGCUCUACUAUGAAGUAUUAUUAUUUUAAACGAUCCAAACCAUAUAUUUUUCUCAUCUCCAUUCAUAGAUCCACCUUAUAGAAAAUUAGACAAAUUGAACAUCAUUAAGGUACUUAAUUGUAACCAACAAAAUAAACGAACACGAUAUUUCAAGAAAGCACUAAAAUGACAAUCAUUAAUUGGGUGGUCAAAAAGUUUCAAAUUCAAGUAAUUUUUUGCAUAGAUAAUCAUGAUAUAUUUGAAUGAAUACCUAAAAUAUAGACGGUUUGGUUUAUUGAAAUACAAUGUGAAUGGGCCUUAUAGGGAUACCAUUGAAAUAAGCAUGAUGCAAGGCAUAUGAAUCUAAUGUAAGUGUCGGUCUUGACUUUUUGAUGGCCCUAGGCAAUAAAUUAAAUGAGGCCCCUUUCUUAGUAUACAAUAAAGCUUAUACAAAAGGAAAUUAAAAAAAUUGCUCAUUCAUUCUUUUUGGUUUAAAUAUAAUAAUUUAAUUUUAACAAAGCAAAAGUACAUGAAUCAUAAAAAAUAAAAAAUAUAUUUAGGUCCAUAAAUAGUAAAAUAACUUCUAACAUUCAACAAAACAACCUAUUCUUUCACAAUAAUGUCACACCUCAAAUUUUUUUUUUUUUGGAAGUGUGAGGUAAAAGAACAAAAAACUAAAACUAAAAAUGUAAAUAUCAAGAAACAUGAAGAUUGAACAUAACUUUUUAUUUAAGUCAAAGUAAUUUACAUUGUAAUUUUACAAGCAAAAUAACAAGAAAGUAACAAACUUUCAACAAAACAUUCAAAACUAUCUACAACCCGUUCUUCUUGUUUCCUCGGUAAAAACUAAACUUCAUAUUCAAAGCCUGCAAUAGAUUCAAUAAGGGGUGAGCAUUACAUGCUCAGUAGGAGUCCUAUGUCUUAUGUGAUUAAUGAGAUUUAUAAUGUACAAUUUAUGCAAUGUAUGAAUGAACUUCAUUUCUACCCAACCUGUUAAUCUAUAUAAUAGAACAAGCAAAUCUGCAUGUCCCAUACCAUGCAUUUUACCACUGUGAUUUCGAAUGCCCCAUUAUAUAAACUAACACCCAUUUCAAUCAUCCCAUAAUUCCCCUUUUGCUAGUCAUCUUGUCUACACCAUUGAUCUCCAAGCCCAAAUCACCCAAUCGACAAUUAUACCGCCGAAUUCCUAAUCUAACACGGGCUCGCCUGAACUUGGUCCCUACAAUGGUUAGACUCAAUUACACAAAAGAUUAUUCCCAUUAUCCUCUUUUCCAUAAUUUCAUUAUCAACCCAAAAAUUCCAACCACCACCGACAACAUAUGAAUAUAUAAAAUUAAUCAAAUUAUAAUGAUAAUUGACAACACAUAUAUAUCCAAUAUCAAGGACAACAAUCAAACAAUAUAGCCAAGCAUAAUAUAAGAUUUACAAUAAUUAUCAAAAUAAUAUUACCAAACAUAAUAUAGUAUUUACAAUAUUUAAUUAAAUCAAUAUAUGCAAAACUUCCCCAAAAAAAAACCCCUACCUCAAAUUCAAAGCUAUUGUAUAACUCCCACUUAUAAGUUCAAAUACUUUAAACUUCUUCAAAACCUCACCACACUUAGUUCUCUUAUUUUCUUUUGUCUACGAUUUUUUUUAGGAAACUACUAUACUUGAAGAACUAUUAGUUAGAACUAUAUAUAGUAGGUUAGAGUCGGUUAAGGAAAUAUGGAUGAAGCUUAACAUUAUGCCACCUAACUAACCUAGGGAUCUCUAGACUACAUCCUAGGAUUUAUAGACUAUAUGGGUGUUGGCUUCCGGAGAGUGCUUAGUGAGCACUUGCCAAUUACAUUUAUAUAUAUAUAUAUAUAUAUAUGAAUAUCUAUUGUUCUUACACAUCAUACCAAAACAUACCACCUCAUGCUUCAAUUGGUUUUUGAAGACUCCCUAAUGCAACACGUCACUUAAGAGAAAGCUUAGUAAGCAUCAAUACCUUUCUAAAAGCUUUUGUGUGUAUAGAAUAAAUAUUAAAUGAAUUGCUAUUGUUAAAGUCUUACAAUGAGGUUUGAUAGGCUAUAGCUAGAUUCACGUAGCUUACCAUAUAACUAACUAAUAUACAUAUAAUUUUGAAAACUAAUAAUUAUAAAUAAUUAAUUUUAUGAAAUAUUAAUAUACAUAUUUAAAAAUAUGGAGUUUUACAAAUAAGUUCUCAAGUAACUUUUUUUUCGGCCAAAAGGUGUUCAUUAAACCAAUAAAGAGAAUCAACAAACCACCUAAUAAAAGAUAGAGGCCAAGCCCCAACAACAAUUUGUGGAAGGAAAAGCAAGAAUAAAACUCAACAAAGACCAACAUAUCGGGUAUAGGGUGAGAAAAAAUAGUUGGUUAGAUAGGAAAAAAUAUAAAGAAAAGUUCAUAAAUCUUAUUACCUUUUCAAAUUUUCAUGCUCAUCUCCUCUUGGUCACUACCAUCAAUCUUAAAGACAAAGAUCAAGAAAGAAAAAUUGUGAACUUUUUAGUGAGAGAUCGAUUCUUUUAGGGUUUCAAUAUGAAAAAAGAGGGAUGAGAGAAACUUAAAAUAAUAGAUUGAAGAGAGAUUAAGAUAACAUAUAAUAAUAUGGUGGAUUAAAUUGAGAGCAUGUUCCAUAGAGAAACUAGGAGUACGAGAACCAAAGUCUUCUUGAAAGAGGAAGCAUGUUUCUUCGGGGAAAAGGAAUCAUGUUUUUCUCAUUUAGUUUCAGUGUAUUUUUCUGUUUUUAUUUUAUUUUAUAGAUUAGACGCUUGAUAUAUAUAUAAUAUAAAUAAAUAAAAAUUGGGGCCCAUUAAUUGGAGUCCCAUGGCCAUCGCCCUUCCAGCUCACCCCCAAGGCCGGCCCUUCCAUAGUGAAAAGAUUAAAGGUCCUUCUUAACGAAUUUGCACUUGGCACAUGGGGUGCCACUAUAAUGGAAAAGUGGGUCAACCUCUUCCCUCCCCUUUCUCCCCUCAAAACCACCACCCCACACCCCCCACGUCUCCCCCCUCCCACUCGGGUCUCCGCACGGGGUGUCCCAUUCAACUGCACCGGGGUUUGAUUCACGUAUGCGACAAUCUUAAUGCAACCCAAUAUAUUAUAUAAUAAUCCCCCUCCCUAACGAAUUACCAGAAAAAGAAUAAUAAUAAUAAUAAAAAAAUUGAACUUGACUUGCACGUUUACGUGUCCAAAUUUGACCCAAAAAAAAAAAUGCGUUCAAAUACUCGUGUCAGCCCAAAUUUAGUCAUUUAUUCAAAGGCUUUAAGUUUAGGGCCAAAUAAUGACCAUCUAAAGAUAUCUAUGCGGAAAAAAAAAAAAAGAAUAAUGCUACUCUUACCACAUUUGUAUACCACAUCUUUAUACCAUCUUAUGUGGCAGCUGAGGUGAACAGCCACAUCAAUUUAAAUUAUUUAAUAUUUUAUUUUCUUUUAUGAUUUAUUUCAAUAUUUGUUUUUCUAAUUGUCUUAAUUAAAAUACAUUUCAUUGAUUUCAUUGAUGUGGCAUAUAAUAUGGACAUGCCACAUCAUGUGGUAUAGAAAUGUGGGAUAAAAAUGUGGUAAGUGUAGCAUUAUUCAAUCAAAAUGAAAAAAAAAAAAAAAAAAAGUAAAGAUUGAAGAUCAUUUAGUCAUCAUUAUAUAUCAAAUAUUCCAAUAAUUUUGGAUUUCUUCAUUCCAAAAUAACUAAAAUCAACUUCAUUUCCAUAUUAAAUUUAGGGUUUUCUGCGAGUUUGCCCCCGGAACUAUUCGCAUAUUGUCAAUUUAGCCCUUAAUAAUUUUUUCGGUAAAUUAAGGACUCGAAUUUUUUUUUUUAAAACCCCAAUUGAAGACCUACCACUUUGCCGUCAUAUUCUUAAGACUCCCAUCCACUUUGCCAUCAAUUUUUGCACGUGACCCAGUUUGAAGGAUAUAAAUUCGUCAUUUCAUGACCCAACUCUUACUUUCCUUACAUUGGGUUAGGAGAGAUCGUGUUUUACAUUUCAAAUUGGGAAGUUAUCUGUGAUUCAAACUGGGUUGGACAGAGUAAAGGGUGCUAGCAAAUUUAGGGGCAUCGAGAACGAAUCUUUUCGAGAUUGAGGUGUGACUGAUCGACGAAGUGGGUUUUGUGCUAAGAGAUAGUGGAGAGCAUCCCAUCUAUUGUAAGUGUCCACUUUCUCUAACUUUCUCUCACUUGUUCCCUCACUUUCUCUGACUUUGUUUCACUUUCUCUCAAUGAAUCUGGUUUUGACGAAUAUUGUACUAUUAAUCCAUGAAAAAUAUAUCUUCAGUGGUCCCUAAACUGUUGAUUUUGGUCUAACUUAGAUUCCUUCACUACACUUGUCUUAUGUGGUCUCCUAUGCAAUUUUUUAGUGCAAUUGUUUAUCUAUAUAUAUAAAGCAAAAGGCAGAGAAUGGUGAAACAUUCAAAAUACCAGAAAAUGCCCUUUGUUAAUUCAAACAUUAAGAAUUGAAAUUAUUAAUUAAAUGAGGAUAAUAUGGUAAAUUCAUAUUUUUUAAUAUUAAAAAAAUUAAAAUUAAAAACAAAAUAAGAUAAUAGGUCCUACUUUUAUGGAACAUAACUACCCUGUUAUCUUUUAUUAAUUCUAAAAAUAAAAUAAAAAAGAAAAAGAAAACCAAUUGGCACAUGCGUGAGCAUGUGUCAAGUGGCUAGUGUUUAGUUAUGUUUUAUAUUGUAUUGAUAGAGAUUGGUUGUGUUUGUACUUUAGUUAACUAAUAUAUGUUAUAAAUGCGGUAGAUAGGAAGUAACUCUCAUUAUUUAAUGAUAUGCAGCAGAUCCUGACCUAUUUACACCGAAAAUUCAACAUGGAUGUUAUUUUACGGAUGUGUUAUACAUGGGGGUAUUGUGCAGUGGAUUGACAACUUUGUCAGGGAUUAUGUGUCAAUGUUGGCCAUUUAUGACUUGGCAGUGGAACUUGGCUACCAAAAAGAGACCACUAAGUUCUUUUUUAUAAGAGGAAAAGAAAGGUUGGGUUCCAAGUGUAGUUGAUAACUGAUACAGCACAACAACCAAAGGGUUUAGGCAGUAAAACAUCUGUAAAUGAGCAUUUGCAGGCUGAGACUACUGAGGAACAAGAAGAUGAGAGAAAAGCUAAUAUUUUUAUCGAUUUUGGGCAUAUAGAUGCUGAUUUGUUUGGGGAUUUUGGAGAAGUACAUAUAGAUUUGACUGGUGCUAGUAAUUUUGACAUAUUUUGUUGAUGUAGUUGAUGAGGGUUACGAGGCGAUAAUGGUGAGGACUUUGACGUUGAAGUGCAAAACACUACAUAUGUUUCUAGUGGUGAUGAAUGUUAGAGUUUUGUAUAGGUUUUGGAGAAGAAGAGAAAACAAUAUGCAAGAGAAAACCGAGAGCUUAGCUUAAAACAAAACUUCUGUAUUUUUUGUAUUGUAUGCUCUGAAACUUUUGGGCAAGGACAGUGCGUGCUAUAUGACCGUUAGAGAAAUAGCUGGAUUCUCUUACAUCACUUGAGAAAUACAGCCUUACAUCCAAAACUGUCUUCUAAGAUCUUUACACGUGGCUAUAGCCACUUAACACUAACUGACGCCUCACACUUGCCUAUUUUAGAGACUAAGUGAAUACACCAUUUCAGCUUAGGGACUUUAAUCACACUCUCAUCAGCUCACCACUUAUAUUUCAACACUCCCCUUUAAGUUGUGAGCUGAUUUCACACCAAGUUUCUCUCUGAGAUAGCAGAAACGAUCCUUAGCCAAUGCCUUAGUAAAAAUGUCUGCUAGUUGCUCAUUUGUGGGACAAUAAAUCAGAUCCACAGUUCCUUCUUGCAAAGCAUCUUUAAUAAAAUGAUACCUCCGAUCGAUAUGUUUUGUUUUCUGAUGAAACACAGGAUUCCUUGUAAUGGCAAUGGCUGAAAUGUUGUCACAGUGUAGAGGUGUUGCUUCUGCUUGAAGCUCUCCAAAAUCUUCUAGGACAAACCUCAACCAAAUAGCUUGUGUUGUUGCUUCAGAUGCACUGAUGUACUCCGCUUCUGCAGUGGAGAGUGCAACACAAUUUUGCUUGACUGAGGCCCAAGCAAACACUCCACUACCAAAAGAAAAAGCAUAUCCAGAAGUGCUCUUGCUAUCAUCCACUGAACCACUCCAAUCACUGUCACAAUAGCCAAUUAGAACUGCCCCUUUUCCUUUCACAUACUCCAGACCAUAAUCUAGAGUCCCUUUCACAUAUCUAAGAACACGUUUUGCUGUUCCAAAAUGUUUGCUAGUGGAACAAUGCAUGAACCUUGCUAGCAAACUAGCUGCAAACAUAAUGUCGGGUCUGGUAGCUGUGAGGUACAGCAGACUUCCAACAAUCCUUCUGUAGUGUUCUUCACUUGCCAAGCCACUCCCAUCAUCUUUACUUAGCUUCUCUGAGGUGACUAGAGGAAUAGAAACCGGCUUACACUCAUUCAAGCCAAAUCUGCUCAACAGAGUUGUUGCAUACUUCUUCUGAUGAAUGAAUAUGGUUGUUGGUGUUUGAAUCACUCCCAUUCCCAAGAAGUGAUGCAAGAGUCCCAGAUCAUUCAUUUCAUACUUCUCCUUCAUGUCCUUCUUGAAAUCUUCUAGCAUUUCAUGAUCAUUUCCAGUGUAGACUAUAUCAUCUACAUAAAUGGAAACUAUCAAGAUAUUUUCUGCACCUCUUGCUUUGACAUAAAGUGUAGCUUCACUUUGACUCUUUGUAAAUCCACACUCAGCAAAAUAACCAUCAAUUUCACUAUACCAAGCUCUUGGCGCCUGUUUCAAGCCAUAUAGAGCUUUGUGUAGUUUGUAAACCUUGCUUUCACUUCCUUUUACCACAAAUCCUUCCGGCUGGUCUACAUACACUUCUUCCUCUAAAAUACCAUUUAGAAAAGCUGACUUGACAUCCAAUUGGUACAGCUGCCAACCCUUCUCAGCUGCAAGGGCAAUCAAGGUUCAAAUAGUGUCUAAUCUAGCCACUGGUGCAAACGUUUCAUUGUAGUCCACCCCUGGUUUUUGUGAGUAUCCCUUGGCCACCAGUCUUGCUUUAUUCUUCUGCACUGAGCCAUCCAAAUUUAGCUUAGUUUUAAACACCCAUUUAACUCCAAUAACUGGUUUUUCCAUAGGUCUGUCAACAAGUUCCCAUGUCUUAUUCUUUUCUAUCAUAUUCAACUCAUCUUUCAUUGCCUUCAACCAUGAUUCCUCCUUCACAGCUUCUUCAAACUUCUCAGGCUCCAUUGUGCACAGGUUGCAUUGUGCCAAAAUGUCAUCCAACUUCCUCCAUUUCAAUGGUGUAUGAUCGAAGGUCUGAGUAUCUUCCAACCUACUGCUUUCCUUGCUUGAUUCUCCAUAGGAAGCUGCUCCAGCAGUGAAACCAGAAUUUUGAGGCCCUAUAGGUGUCUCAAACGAAUCCACUUGAGAAUUUCUAGGCUGCUCCUCAAAGUUCAUCAUAACCACAGAAUUGUCAGACACUUCUUUCCAAUUCCAGCUUGUUCCUUCAUCAAAUACAACAUCCCUUGAUAAGAGUAGUUUUCUAGUGAUAGGAUCAAACACUCUAUAGCCCUUCUCACAUGUUGCAUAUCCAACAAAAACUCCCCUUGUAAUUUUGGCAUCCAAUUUAUGUCUAUUCUCCUCUGGUUUAUGCACAAAACACACACUGCCAAACACUUUUAAAUGAGCAACACCUGGGUUUCUGGUGCUAUAGGCCUCAAAAGGAGUCUUGUCCCUAAGAGCCUUAGUAGGACAUCUAUUCAAGAUGUACACUGUUGUGUGGACAGCUUCUGCCCAUAGAUAAUAGGGCAGCUCCUUCUCAUGCAACAUAGCCUUAGCCAUCUCUACCACAGUCCUAUUUUUCCUCUCUACCACUCCAUUUUGCUGGGGUGUGUAAGCCAUGGAGAAUUGUCUUUGAAUCCCUGCAUCUUCACAUAGUUUAUUGAAUUCACUAGAAGUGAACUCACCCCCUCUAUCACUUCGAACACAUUUCACUUUGUAACCACUUUGCAACUCCACCAUAGACUUGAAUUUUCGAAAACAAUUUAGUGCAUCCGACUUGUAUCUCAAGAAGUAGACCCAAAUCAUCCUUGUAAAAUCAUCUAUGAGUAACAUGAAAUAUUUGUUACCUCCUAGAGAUUCAUUUUGCAUUGGUCCACACAAGUCCAUGUGUAUAAGUUCAAGAGGUAUACUAGCUCUCCAUGCUUGAUCUUUAGGAAACCACUCUCUGUGUUGUUUUCCUAAUUGGCAGCCUUCACACACUCCAAUUACAGUUUCCAAAUGUGGCAGCCCAUGUACCAUCUCUUUUUCCUUGAGUUGGUUUAGGCCUUUCAAGUGUAAAUGCCCCAUUCUUUUAUGCCAAACCCAAGUAGAGUUGACUACACCAGCUCUUAGUGCAACAAAAUCAUUUGAGGGUAAUGAUAGUGGAUAACAUCUAUUCUUUCUCAUUUCCACCUUCAUAACAAGGUUCUCAAGAGAAGAACUAUCAUAGAUGCUGCACAUGCUGCUCCCAAAUACCAAAUGAUAACCAUGUUCAUCAAUUUGGCCCAUACUCAAAAGAUUUUCUCUCAAACCAGGCAGAUACAUGACCUCUCUGAUAUACUUUGCACCAGAGUUUGUGUCAAGCACCAAAGUGCCCAUGCCGGCUAUACUUACAAGCUCCCCUGUUGGCAUUUGCACCUUGCCUAUGACUUUUGAGUUUAUGUCAAUUAACAGCUCCUUCUUCCCAGUCAUGUGGUUACUGCAGCCACUGUCUACAUACCAUUCUCCAUUUUCACCCUUUUCUGAAAUUGCACAGUUUGCAAAAAACAGAUUCCCUCUUACUUCUACUUGGCUUGCAUUAUUUGCUUUCUGUCCUCCUUUGUUUGCAGUGCAGUCUCUGGCCCAAUGUCCAAAUCUAUCACACUUAUAGCACUUGGAUUGACCCUUAUAUCUGCAUUCUCCAUAGUGAAAUUUAGAGCAGACCUUACAUUGUGGCUUCACCCCAUCUUGCUGCACAAGAUGUGAUCCAUUUGAAGUCUGUCCAGCGCCAGCUUGCUGUGGCUUCUGUCUAGACUCCCAUGGUUUGUUGUUAGGCUUCCAACUCUUCUAAGACUUGGCAGAACCAAACUGAGCAUUAUUCUUGUUCUGCCCCUUUUGAUCGAUUGAGAAAGAACCAAAUGCUUUCUCAGCUAUGUCCACAUUAUGCAUGUCAAAACGUUGCUCUUGACUCUUCAAUAUUGCAAUAACCUCCUGCAAUUCAAUGGUCUCCAAACUCUUUGUAUUUUCAAUCACCAAACAGAUGGGAUCAUAAACUCUACUAAGACUGAUUAACACCUUUUGAACCAGCCUCUCGUUUGAUAACACCUCUCCAAAUGUUUUCAUUUGAUUUAUCAAUUCAUUUAAUCGAGUAAGAUAUGCAGUAAGUUGUUCACCUUCACGCAUCCUCAAAUACUCAAAUUCUCGUCUAAGAUUCUGAAGCUUUACAGAUCUAACCUGAUCACCUCCAUGAUAUUCACUGUAGAGCAGAGUCCAAGCCAUUUUUGCUGAAUCGGCAUUUGCAAUCCGAGGGAAGAUCUGGUCAGAGACAGCAUUUUGUAUGAUGCCCAGUGCCUUUGCAUCCUUCAUGAGCACAGCACACAUCUCUGCUUCAGCUUCUUCCUCCGAUGAUUCUUCAACUUUCUUGGUCUUCAUCUUCGAAUCAGAGACUGGAAUCCCCUUUUCUACCAGACCCCACAGCCCAAGAGAUUUGAAGAUUGUCACCAUCUUGAUCCUCCAGAACUCGUAGUUCUCACCGGAAAAGAUCGGAGUUCGUACCUCUGAACUUCCAGAUCCAGCCAUCGUUUGGUCUGAAUCUCAGCAGCUUGCUUCUCUUCUCCGAUGCUCAGCUGAGCUUCGAUUUUAGCUCAGUGACCUUCACAGUUUUACGCCCAGAUCAAGACACCGAACCUGGCUCUGAAACCAUGUUAGAGUUUUGUAUAGGUUUUGGAGAAGAAGAGAAAACAAUAUGCAAGAGAAAACCGAGAGCUUAGCUUAAAACAAAACUUCUGUAUUUUUUGUAUUGUAUGCUCUGAAACUUUUGGGCAAGCACAGUGCGUGCUAUAUAACCGUUAGAGAAAUAGCUGGAUUCUCUUACAUCACUUGAGAAUCACAGCCUUACAUCCAAAACUGCCUUCUAAGAUCUUUACACGUGGCUAUAGCCACUUAACACUAACUGACGCCUCACACUUGCCUAUUUUAGAGACUAAGUGAAUACACCAUUUCAGCUUAGGGACUUUAAUCACACUCUCAUCAACUCACCACUUAUAUUUCAACAAUGAAUCUGAAGAUGAAUUAGAGGAUGAUGAAGAUGUGGUUGAGGAAGUUAAUGGUGAUGAUAUGGAACAUGAAGAGUCCAUAGAAACUGACUUUAAGCAAAGUGAAGAAGAUGACAACUAGUUUCAUAGAUUUGUUGUAACUGAAGAUCUUGAUGAAGAUCAGCAUAAAGAACUAGGGGAAGAGCUAACUGAUGAGUAUGAUACAGAUGACCUUAGAAGUGUACAUGAAGAAGACUGUGUUGAAGUUAUUGAAGUAAGAGGCAAGACUAGAAGAAGAGCUCCAAAAUUCACCACUGAUGAGCUGCUUAAAGUUUCCUUUACUUCUGUUGGAGUAGAGCACUUCCUCCUCACCUUUUGACGAGACCCCUCCCAUUUGCUUAGCCAUAGAUUCUUGAUUGGCAAGAAAAUUUUCAAACUCAACAAGUGAUGGUUGAGUCGGCCAUCCUUGUAUAGCAGCAACAAAGCCUCGGUAUUCGGGUCUCAGACCAUGGAUAAUUAUUCUUUUUAUCCUAGAUUCCACAAUAACAGCAGAAAGAUCUAAUUCAGAAAUUGGACGGCAUAUGGACUUUACCUUGUGGAAGUACUGAGCAAUUGUCAUGUCACAUUGUGCAAUUGAUAACAACUUGUUCUCAAGAAGCUUCAAUUUUGUAUUAUUCUUCCUUGAAAAGAGUGUUGUAAAGGUGUCUUAUGCUUCUUUUGGUGUUUUGGCUUUUCUUAUGUGCUUCAACAUUUCUUCUACAAUUGUUUUUUUUACGGCAAACAUGGCUUUACCUGCAUUGAUCUUCCACUUAUGAAAAGUUUCACUGUUGUCUUCUCGUGGCUGUGUAGCUUUGUUACCCCCAACGACAUCCCAAAGAUCUUGACCUUGUAGAUAAGACUUCAUACAUGUCACCCACGUGUUGUAAUUUUUGUUGCUGAGCUUCUUGAUUCCUCCAACGACGUGAAGAUCACCCAUCGUGUCAGUAGAAUUUAGGCAACGAACAAGUUUGAUCUAAAGAUGCAAACUUGUAGAGAUAAACUCCUCACGACUCAAGGAAGCUCUAGCAGAAUCAGUCCCUAGCCGUCACGCUCUGAUACCUAUUGUUGAGAAAAUUAAAGUAUAUAACUCUAAUAUAGAAUGGUUGGAGACAAAACAAGUAAACAAAUUACUUGUAUUAGACUCACAAAAUAUUACAACAAGACAACUCUCAAAAGAGAGACCAACUCUUACAAGCACUCUUUCUAACUUUCUAGAGACAAACUCUAGAACACUCACACUCGUCACAAGAACUACUUAGAUCUAUAGCUUAUUGGUCACUCUUCUUCUUGACUUCUCACUUCUACUUCUCUUCUUUCUUAUUUUUACUACAAUAACGUAGGAUAUCUAACUUUGCUAGACUAUACUAACCAACACGCAACUUUAGAAUUGUGUAGAUAUUUUCUCUUUAACAUUGGGCCGGGCAUGGGGUGUUUAUCUUCCUUGGGCUGUUCAAUUAUUGGGUUGGUGUUGAUACUUUAACAUCUUCCUCCAUUGAUGGAAAGAAAUAAAACAAAAACAACUUACGAAACAAGCCCCUGAUUUCUUUGUUAAACAUGACCCGACCCAUUAUUGAUUAGGAUUGAGAAUCUAUGCGCACUAAUAAGUUGAGUGAGGAAUAUUGCACAUGGAUGAUGGAUGUCUCUCUCUUCUUUUGAAACAAGCAAAAAUAUGCUUCAUUAUCCUUAGUUGAAUUAUUCCAGCUAAAGUAUGCAACUGAGCAUCAAACCUCGCUAGCUAAAAAGAUAAAAGAAAGGCCACUACGAGAAUAGUGUAGUAUAAUAUUCCAAGAAGAUAUAUGUGAAGAAUCUUAUGAUCAAUAAUAUAGAAUAUUCUGUAUUAUGAUCAGGGUGGCCUGGCCUUCAUAAAAUAUCCUCUGCAUUUGCGCGUGCCAACAACUAUUAAAGGAGAGCAUGAUACAAUUAGUUGAUCAUCAAAGCAAACGCAGAUCAAACCUAAAAACUAGUCAGUGAGACAAUGACGAGUCACGAUGAAACCAACUCAAGGCAAGGGUAUGCUGGAAAUGCCCCCAACCGCAAAGUUAUUAAAAUUAAAGGGGUUGAUAUCAGCGACAACAGCGGCGACACGAUGGGAUUUAGCAACUUCGCCAACACUCGUAAUGGGGCCGACUCGGGCAGCUGUGAAAUUGAAGCUGAGAAUAUUAACAUGAAGGGAAACAAAGGCAACCUCAAAGGAUUUACCGACUUCGCCAACACCGGUGAUGUGGGCAAAACGGGUAGGCAAGUACUCACGACAUCCGGGAGAAGAAGAAGAAGGCUGCUAAAUUAGAGAAUGUACGCCAGGGAAGUAAUGGCAAUCUCUCGUCUCGCAUGCAUGCGUGCAAUUGAAGAAGGCCAUAAUCAUAUGUGUGUAAAAUAUCUACACUAAAAUAAGAACUGAUGCAGGCUCCUCCUUUGGCCUGGCCUUCUUUUUAUGUGUUAUUAAUAUUAUUCUAAUAAAUUAAUGGGAGCUUGACAUUAAUGAAGAGUCUAUGGCUAUGAAUGAAGAGUCUAUGGCUCUACAACAGCAACAGACUUACGUAAUUUAUUCUGGAAAUAUCUCUUUUUUGAAAAAGCUAAAAGCAACCCCAUUAUCCUUAAGUGAAUUUAUUCUCGAUUAGUUUUGUUCAAUACAUCAUCUAAAUUAGAAUGAUUCCAACUUACGUAACACAGCUUAGACUAUCUCCAAUAAUGUUAGGGUUAAACUUAAAUUUUAACUCUUUAAAAUACAACUAUUCAUGUAUUAUCUAAAUUUGAACACUUUUUCCUCCAACUUUACGGACUCAAAG